rnacentral:lncRNA from 1 species
CGACAAACCCUAGCUCGGUCGCGCGGGGGUGGAUGUGCGGAGGGUUCACCCCACCGUGGGCAAUAUCCACCCGGUUCAUCGACAACCCAAGCGUGUUCAACCCUGCGAAGGUCAGCACGUUGGCCGGGGUGACGCUCGACCCGAACAUGUUGUUGGUGUUGCCCGCCACGGAUAUCGCGGAGGAGAAGAAGUCGUCGGGGACGACGGUGGUGUUCCGCUUGCACGGGAAGCCGUUCACAGCGACGGGGGAGUGCAAGUCGGCGACGCAGAAGUCCUGGAGGGGGUCGGCGUCGGCGGCGAGGGACGUCGGGAUGAAGAAGACGGUAAGAGAGAGGGAGAGGAGGAGGAGAAGCGAAUUGGCCGCCAUUGUAAGCUUAAUCUAUGAAUAGGAUGAGAAGGAUAUAUACUGAUGGAUACGUUAAUUGUGAGGAGGAGAAUGAAGCUUGGUGCUGUAUUUAUAUAGCUAGGGUGUUGAGUGAUACUUUUUCAAAGUCAUAUAUAUGCAGUUGUUGAAUAGUCAUCGAUUGGCUAUCCAUCUGCAUUUACAUGACCGACAUAUAAUAAGAAAUUGGACACGUACGCAAGAGGGCUACUGUGGGUUUGGAUAAGCAAUUGGUGGGGGAAAUAAUUAACUAAUUCAGAACCUGUUCUUUUGACUUGACCGUACGAAUUAAUGUAGUUUUGAACGUAAACAAGUUAAUUACAUUGUAGCCCCAUGGUACGUACGUAUUGAAGGAUCGAUCCUUCCCUGAAAUUUGGAAGAUCAAUUAAUUGACUAGGAAAUAUAGAAAAUUAUAAGAGUCUUUGAUUACUGGAAAAUAAUCAUCAAAUCCCGGGAAGCUAGCUAGUAACAUUUUAAUGAAAAAAAUAAGAAGAUAUAAUAUUUCAAGAGUAGUAAUUAAUCGAAGGUUUAGAAAAAGAAAAGAAAGCAAGGGUACGUGUAUAGAGUGUUCGUGUAUUAUGUAACACAUGAUCAUAUAAAAAUAUUUGAUUAGUUAAUGCAUGAAGUGUCAAAGUGCCUUAUAUAUUUCGCAACACAUUAAUGCUCAAUAUAAGGAUAAUAUUUUAUUAUGUGCUCAAAGGAGUUUCGCUUUGGUUAAUUAGUUGGCAUACGCUAGCAGUGACAACUUAAUAUUUCUUUUUCUUGAGAAAAAAUUAGCACCCUAUCUACUUCAUUUAUUAUGCCUGUGUGUCUGGUUCGGGAUUAAAGGGUGGGAUAACCCCUUAACACCGGAUUUAAUCCCUAACACCCAAUUUGGGGGGUGGGGUUAGCUAGCUAACCCCACCCCACCCCAGGAAUAGGGGUGGGAUUAACUUAAUCCCACCCCUAUUUAAUUUUUUAAUGUAGAUAUAAAUUUUAAUUUUAAAAUUUAAAAUUUUAAAAAUUUAUAUAUUUUAAUUUUAAAAUUAAUAUUUAUUUUUUAAAAUUUAAAUUUUAAAAUUUUUUAAAAAAUUAUUAUCUUUAAUUAUUUAAAUUUUAAAUUUGAUAUUUUAUAUUUGUAACUUUAAAUUUUUUCAUUUGAGAUUUAAAAAUAUAAAUUUUAAUUUUAAAUUUUGAAUUUUAAAUUUUAAAUUAUUAUUUUAAAUUCUUUUUAAAUUUUAAAUUUGACAUUUAUAUUUAUAACUUUAAAUUUUUAAAUUUGAGAAUUAAAAAUAAAAAUUUUAAAUUUUAAAUUUUAAAUUUUAAAUUAUUUUUUUUAAUUAUUUAAAUUUUAAAUUUAAAUUCAAAUAUAAAAAUUAGGGCAAAAUAAUUAUUUUCUAUUUAUAAUAACCCACUAUCUUUCUUAUCCCACCUACUCCAAUCAAAUACUAUUUUAUCUAUACUAGAACUAAACCCAAUUCUCAACCAAACACAAAAUUACUCUAAUCCGACCUUAACCAUGAACUUAACCCUAUUCCUGAAAUAACUAGUUUUACUUAAUCCCGAACCAAACGAAGCCUAUAAGAAUGAACUAAACUUCAGGGGUGAGGUAAUAGACCUCUGUUAAAAAGAAGACAAAAAACAACUUAUAGGGUAAAAUUAGGAUAAAGUUAGGGCUUAGUAUAGUGCCGUUUAGAUUCGUCCCACAGUCCAAUCAGCCUAGUUCGAGCAGAAUGUGUUCUAUUUCUUAUCAACCACUUAAUUCAGACAAAUCUCACAUCAUCUCUCGGAUCCCUAGACUGAAUGCCCUCCAAAGCCAUCACGAUCAGGAAUCGACUGAAGACACAUUGUGUGAAUACAACUUAUAGUUUAUUGAUAACUGUUUAUGUUUGUAUGAGAGAGUUAAGAAACAUGAAAUCAUAGCUUAAUUAGAUGGUAAGUAACUUGAGGUUGAAGUAUUUAUUUGGACCAGGCCUUCAUCAGUCCUCGAUCCAAGUAAUCCAUUUGACUGUUCAAUCACUAGUUAGAUCAAUUAAAUUGAUUGUUUUGCACUUUUUCAACUUAAAGAAUUGCAUCGAUGUUUCGCUUGAAAACACAAAACUACUCUUUUUUGGAUACAACAAUAGUUGCAAGAAACAAAAUUCCGUACAUAAAAAAGUGUAAAAACAAAAUUAAUUAACUUUAAAAUAUAAAAAAUUGUACAGCUACUAGCUAGCUGUUUCCUAACUAAGUAAUGCAUGCCCUAAGAGUGCACGCUAUUUCAGUAUGCAUGCCAAAAUUUCUCGCUAUUUCAGUUCAUUAAUUUGUACCUGUAAUAGUAAAUUAAUAUGUACGCGCGGUACAACUGUCCUUUCAAUUUCAAAUGCGUGUAUAUAUUAAAGAUAUUAAAGUUAUUAAAUACUCGAUUCAAUUCCCAAAAGUAAGGCUUCAACAAUGAUGGCUAACGCAUUGUAAAUGCUCAUCCGUUACGUCUCUAAGCAAGACAUUGCUGCACCCUAGCUAAGCUUUAGUUGCUGAAUUCAAGGGCCACGGGGUGCUUUCCCGAACAAUAUAGUGAUGUCAUGGCGCGCGACAAUCAUCAAACUAUUCUGUUGAAAGUCAAGCCUCAUUUCUUGCCUGCUAAUCUGAAACUUACCUUACUUUAUUGCUAUUUUGUUUCCUUAUUAUUUUUUGUAGAACUCUAGCUAAAUCUUUCAUAAUUAUAAGAUGAUUGAUUUGAUUAAUUGAUCAACCUUCUCAUCUUGCGAUAUAAGAGAGAUUCUGUUUCAGAAUUGUUUCACCUUCGUAAUAAUCUAUUUAAAUCUAUUUUCUUUGAAUAUUGAAUAAGAUGAAAAAUACACAAAAGAAUAACUGUAUGUGGUUCUUCAUUCUUCCUUCAUAUAGUGAUUGAUUGUUAAUUUGGUCGUUGUUGAAUCAUAAACUUUAAAUUCUAAAUAUUUUUAUCGAUGAUAAUUUUCGUCGUUAAAUGUUUAGUUCAAUAUUUGAAAAUAAUUUUUUAGCGACAGUAUGCAUUGUUGUUAUUUUAGUUUUAUCCAUCAUUAACAAUAGGAUUUUGCGUAUUUUUAUAUAAAAAAAGACAAACAAAUGGUUGUUAUAACUAACAAUAUUGUUCGUUAUUACAUACAUUUGACGACGGAAUUUAAUCUCGUCGUUAAAUACUUUUAGUGACGGGAAUUAACGCCCUUCGUAAUUAGUUUUAGCGAAGAAAGAUUUAACGACGGGUGGCGACGGAAAUUUUUACGGUUGUUAAAAGUUAUUACCGACCAAUAUGCUAGUUAUAACGACCACUAUUCCCUUCGUUAUAUAUCAUUUUUCCUGUAGUGAAGUGCUAUUCUCUGGUCACCAAAAUAUUCUACACUUCUAUGGAUGUUAUUUUCUUUGAAAAUCAGCCUUACUAUCAAAAAACUGAUAUUCAGGGAGAGAAUUCAUGUCAAGAAUAUCAGUUUUUGGACUUUGAGUCUUUCAUUGAGCCAUCCAUCACCACAAAAAAUUACAUUCCUCUAGACUCUUCGAGUCAGCACUUAUUUGCCGACAAUACUGAGUUCAUGUUGACGUGUGGGAUAAAGAGCCCAUCCAAGAGGAAAUGAAGAAAGGAGCACUUCCCCAGCAAAUCCGUGAUGUUGAACCGAGUCCUAAUUCAAGUGAAAAUACUGGUAACAAUAUCUCUAAUUCAGAUGAUACUAUUGAUUUUGAGUUAGAAAAUGAUAUAUUGAAUAUGCCAAUAGCUUGGAGAAAGAGAGUUAGAUCUUGCACUCAGCAUACUAUUGGAAAUUUUAUUUCCUAUGUUAAACUAUCACAGGGAUUCUGGCUCCUCACAACAUUCUGGAAGCUUUCAAGUGCCCUAAGUGGAAAGCUGCAGUCGAUGAGGAAGUCCGGGCUCUGGAAAAGAAUGGCACUUGGGAAAUUACUGAACUUCCAAGAGAUAAGAAACCUAUUGGGUGUAAAUGGAUUUUCACUGUAAAAUACAAGGCAAAUGGAAAUGUGGACCGAUACAAGGCUAGGUUGGCUGCCAAAGGAUUUACACAAUCUCAUGAUGUCGACUAUCAUGAAACGUUUGCUCCAUUUGCCAAACUCAACACUAUUCGUGUUUUGUUAUCCUUGGCUGCGAAUCUAGAUUGGAAACUUCACCAACUUGAUGUAAAGAAUGCAUUUCUUAAUGAUGAUUUGGAAGAAGUGUAUAUGAAAAUUCCUCCGGGUUUAAAAUCAAAAUAUAAUGUCAACAAGGUAUGUCGACUAAAAAAGUCAUUGUAUGGCUCAAAACAGUCUCUCUGUGCUUGGUUUGAAAGAUUCACGGAGGUAUUACAAAGGUAAAGAUAUACUCAGUGUCAGUCAGAUCACACACUUUUCGUAAAACAUUCCUCUGAUAUGAAACUAGCUAUUAUCAUUGUAUAUGUGGACGAUAAUCAUUCUGACAGGCGAUCAUGAGGAGGAACCUUGUCAGAUCAAACAAUGUCUUGCAAAGGAAUUCGAAAUCAAAGAUCUCGGAAACCUCAAAUUUUUCCUUGGAAUGGAGAUUGCACGAUCAAAGAAAGGUAAAGCAGUCUCACAACGAAAAUAUGUUCUGGAUUUGCUGAGUGAAAUAGGAAUGUUGGGAUACAAGCCUGUAGAAACUCCUAUGGACUCAACUGUCAAACUUGAUAACAAUGAUAGUAGUGCUCCAGUUGAUACCAACGUCUUGUAGGGAAGCUCUUAUAUCUGGCUCAUACAAGACUAGACAUAGGCUUCUCAGUAAGUGUGGUAAGCCAAUUUAUGAAUAAUCCUACUGAGAAUCACAUGACAGCUGUUGAUAGAAUAUUAAGAUGUCUAAAAAUGAUACCCGGUAAAGGACUUUUCUUCCAAAGAAUAUCGAAGAGGAAUAUUGAAGUAUUUUCGGAUGCAGACUGGGCAGGUUCAGUGAUAGAUCGAAGAUCAACUUCCGGCUACUGUUACUUUGUCUGGGAAAUUUGGUAACAUGGCGUAGCAAGAAACAAUCAGUAGUUGCUAGUAGCAGUGCUGAGGCAGAAUUCCGAGUAAUGGCACAAGGUAUUUGUGAAGGAAUCUGGUUGAACAUUUAAAUAGCUGAAAGAAUUAUGAGUACUAUCAGAAUAUCCUAUGGAAUUAUAUUGCGACAAUCAAGCCGCCAUCAGUAUAGCCAAGAAUCCAAUUCAUCAUGAUCGAACUAAGCACAUGGAAACAGAUCGACAUUUUAUUAGAGAAAAGAUGGAAAGAGGAGUUUUCAAAGUAAGCUAUACUCCGACAAUCAAUCAAACUGCAGAUAUUCUUACAAAAUCUCUUGCUCGAAGCAACUUUGAAAAAUUUGUAGAGAAAUUAACUUGGUAUGAUCAACAUCUAUCACUCGGCUUGAGGGGGAGUGUUGAAAGUCAAGCUUUUUUCCUUGCCUACUAAGCUGGAAUUUACCUUACUUUAUUGCUAAUUUUGUUUCCUUAUUAUCUUUUCAUGCACAACUGUUAAUUUAUGACUCUACCUAAAUCUUUCAUAAUUAUAAGAUGAUUGACUUGAUUAAUUGAUCAAUCUUCUCAUCUUGCCAUGUAAGAGAGAUUCUAUUCCAGAAUUGUCUCACCUUUGUAAUCUAUUUAAAUCUAAUUUCUUUGAAUAUUGAAUAAGAUGAAAAGUACACAGAAGAAUAACUGUAUGUGGUUCUUCAUUCUUCCUUCAAACUUCUUCAUAUUCGAUGCCAAGUUCAAAAGUUCACACUUCAUAGACCAGUGCGUUAUUUCAACCAAUUAACCAUCAUAACAAUAUAUAUAUAUAUAAAGUAGGGCUACUAUACUCUUAUGAGUAUUGGGCCCUUCGUACUCAUAAGUUGUUUUCGAUGAUGGGGCUUCCGAAUCGACGAUCCACUCCGUUAAAUAUGAUCUAGAGUAUUUGAAACUUCUAAAAAAUAAAUUUUGCAAUUUUUUGAAAUCAUAAUAAAGUCCAUCAAGCGGGCAUAAAAUGAAUGGUCAAAAUCGAACGACGUCGUAAAAAUGGAUGAUCGGAUCCUUCAAUUUAAGAUCGGAGUUAUUGAUCUUUAUCUAGGUAGUGAAUAGAAUUUUCUAUCAAAAAUUCAACCUAUUCCGAUUCUUUUACACCGUUAAACUAGCAAGUAUCCCAUACCGAUCGUUAAAAAUUGUCAAUUUUGUGAGCAUUUAAUCGUAAGGUAAAUAAUGUCGAAAAAUUAUGAAAUUUGUUUUCUAAAAGUUUUAAAUGCUCUAGAUAAUAUUUACCGGUAUGGAUCGUCGAUUCGGAAGCUCUAUCAUCGAAAAUAACUUAUGAGUACGAGGGCGAUCGUACUCAUAAAAGUAUAGUAGCCGGACUCUAUAUAUAUAUAUAUAUAUAUAUAUAGGGUAAAUUGCAUUGUUACCCCCUGAACUUUUGGCGAACUUUUAUUUUACCCCUCGAACUUCUAAAAUGGACAUCUAAUACCCUAAACUCUAAUAUUUCAUUCAUGUUACAAUUUCCGUCAGUUUUUCGUCAAGCUCCGUUAACCGGAAACUGACGGAAGAGGUAAAACGAAUGAAAUAUUAGAGUUUAGGGUGUUAGAUGUCUAUUUUAGGAGUUUGGAAAGUUAAGUUAUCGUCACUACACGAUCGGCCACUAUCUCCUGUUUUGGAGGACCACCUUCGGCCGAUUGGAACUGCUCAUAACUGCUUGCGGUUGUUACAACUUUUUGAAUAAACGCGGCUCAUAUCUUCUGGCGCGUCUCAUAUGCUCCCGGUCCACCGUUUUGACAUGGAUCAUGGAUGUAGUCCAGGCUUGCCUGCUGUUCGUGCCGAAUUGGCCCAACAAUUGCCCCCCCGGCAGCUUUCGAAGCGAUGCUUCGGUAGCUAGCGUUAUCUUUUGAACUCUUCGUCCCAACCUCUGAAAACGAGUGCGAUCCGAGGCGUAUUCCUCAGUCCAAUCAAAUUCAAAUUCUCUGACAUAAUCUGUAGCGCAAUCUUUUGUACGGUUUAAUCCUAGCCGUUGAUUCUCUUCUUUACGGCCUUGAUCACAUUCUCUACCUUUGUCUCAUAUGCGGCAUUAAUUAGGUCAUCUUAAUUGCCGCUGUCUAUUCAUCAUUAUAGCCGACCUCGGAACUCGUAACCGAUACGACAGAUAGCCCUUUCUUCUUCCCCAAGUUCCUUUUUGUCUCUUCUAUCUCUUAUAUCUUUUUCCCAUCUUCUCCUCUUUGUCUCUUUCAUUCUCCUUCGUCUUUUUCAUUCUUCUUAACCGAAUCUUCCGGCUUCUCUCUUCUUUUUGAACAAUGUCUUUGGUUCCUCCUCUUCCUUCUCAUUCGCCUCUUGACUAUACUAUACUCAAACCCUUCGUUGAUCUAGAUCCUUCUAGGUUUAUAUUAGGUCCUUCUCUUAUAGAUGAACCAUCUCGUACUGACUUCUCUUUCUCUGAUGAGGGAAUUCCUUUGAAAAGAGUCAUUCAUCUCCAUUCUUGAUACUCAUCAGCUUCGACAGGAAAGAGUCUCAGAACUUGGCAAAGCGUCUCUGAAGCAUAUUUGGCCUUGUUAGAUAGAAUAGAAUCCGUUUUUGGCGACUUCUGGCGGGAAAUAGGCAUCUAUGAAGCGAUUUAAUUAUCUCGGCACCCUCCUAUAGCCGAUAAUCUUCUUCUAGCCGCCGCUCUUUAUUUCUGGUCCCCUGUUUCUAAUAUUUUUCUCUUCAAAAGAGGACCUCUUACCCCCACUCUUUUUGAUGUAGCUGCCAUUGUUGGCUUACGCCCUCAUGGCGUUACCCUCUCUAUGGCCUACAAUCCUGAUGGUGUGUCUGAUUUUGAAGCAUAUCUCGAUCUUAAUGAUUUGGCUUACUCUAAAUUCCUCCGAAAAUUUGCAGAUGAAUCCCCUACUCCGGUCACCAAAAAGGAACAUACGGCGUUCCUCCUAUACUGGUUGUGCCAUAAUCUUUUCUGCACUCGUUCGUCGAAAAUCAAUCGGGAUUUUGUUCCGAUCGCCAUUGGUUUAUCUAAUGGCGAUAAGUUGGCCUUAGGGUCAUAUUUCCUUGCUUUCGUUUACAGGAAAAUUUUUGAUUCCAUUAAGUCACUACCUUCCGGUGAUGGCAUUACCAUCAGCUCUGGGUAUGACGUUUUUUGGUUUCUGCAAAUGUUUCUUCAAUUCUAUAUUCCUGCUUUAUGCCAAUCUCCUUUCAAUCCGACUUCAACUGCCCAGUUUGAUUCUUAUGGGCUAGUUCUCGGCUGUCCACAGCCGAUGACCUCUGGUCAACCCUCUGAUUUUCUUACUUACUUCAAGGCUUUUUAUGAGCCAGCCUCUGAUUCAGCUAUUUCUUGGGCUCCAUUUGUUGAUCGUCUUACCGGCCCCUCUUGGUUCCUGGCUCGGUUUGAAGCCAUUCAGGGCGAGCUAUCUUCUUCUCGCACCGGUGAAUAUUCAGAUGUAUGGUAUUCCUAUCUAGCCCCCCGAGAUCUUCAUGUGGGGCUUAAAUCACGUUCAAAAUUAUUACCGAGUACUGAGGUUUAUUCUCCUCAGUAUGUAGCACGGUAAUUUGGAUUCAUUCAGCCGAUCCCAGCUUCUUCUAAAUUUUUUACGGCCAACACAGCCGAUCAUCGUCCUCCCACCAAGAGUAUAUUUGAAGCUGACAAGCUUUCGGCUAUGGGGAAUCGUCUCAGACGCUUCUUCCAGCUAGCAAGCUUCCGUCCGAACUAUACAGGGGUAGCCCUUGCCGGCUAUGCUACCUCAUGGGAUCAUUUUACUGACAGCUUCUUUGAUCUUUCUCUGCCUCGAGCAUUCCGCAAAACCAUCCAUCCACUUGGUUAGUCAUCUAUUACUUGUUUAUAAUUUUCUUCUAAUAUGGCUGUAACUUAUCUUUUAUUUUAUACACAGCCACCACUUCCAGCAAAGAUUCUCCAACCGAGAUUGAGUCUCCACCAAAAACUAUUUCUGAUGCCCCGCCUUCUUCCUCGGUAAAAUAUCGUUUCUCUACUCAUCUUAAUCAUAAUCUUUUUCUCUGCUCAUCAUUUUUGUUUAUUUCUAUUUUCAGUCGAUUCCUGCUUCUCCAUCGGUCUCAGCUUCAGACAAAAGACGGAUCGAAGUUGUUCAAAUCACUCCCCCGCCGUCUUCCAAACGGCGUAAAUCUGUUGUUAAAAGAAAAUUUCAACAAGCCGAAAGUACCCCUUCGGCUGAUACCGCUGAAGACAGAGCCGAGGAUAUUCCUUCGGCUGACAUUCCAUCCAAAGAAACUAUUGCACCCUCUUCGACUACCUCUGUUCCAACCGAAACGAUUGAUGUCGGGGUAAGCCAAAUUAAUUAUUUGUACGAAAGAACAUUUCUUAAUUAUUUAUUAUUUUCUUUUAAACUACAGUCCUCUCCUGAGCGAGCCCGUUUUGCUCAUUAUUCGAAGAUGCAGAUGGAACGGCAGCUUCGCAGGGAAGCCCGUCUUGACAAAAAGAGAGGGAUGGAAAAGAAGAAAAAAUCUGUUGAAACGACAAGCACGACGCCGUUACCCAGUGAGGUUGCAUCACCUCUUUCUGCUCCUGUCCCAAUAUCAACUACAGGGGAUGAACAAAUAAACAUACCUCUCGGGCGAACUUCUGAAGAUAAAAGCACUAUACCUCCCCGCUCGACCCAGGGAGCUUCUUCCCCUACUUCUGAUGAUCCUCUAUCUGCAAUUCUUCAUUCGUUCUUGAUUUCAAGCCCCAGCUCCAACGAGGGGGAUGAUUCUUCAACUAUUAUCAUUUUAUCGGACACCCAAAGCAAGUUCGAUGAAUGUCUUAAAAUAUAUAGCAUUGGUAUUCCUGGUUUAUCUCAGAAUCCGGAACAAUUUGAUCGGCUAUACGCCCUUUUACUUGAUUUAGCCGAUCAAUCAGAUAUUACCCUUGGUAUUAAAUGUUUUGUAGCAACUUUAUCGCUUCAACUUUCAUCUUUUUUGGCUCGGCAGCGAUCUUUAGGCGCCGAACUUGUAGCUUUAGAUCAACAUUUUCAUAGUGUCACUACAACAAAAACCGUCUAUAGCGACACUUUUAAAUGUAGGUACAUGUCAAAAAAGUGCUGCUAGCUAAAAUUACCGACACUUUUAAAAAGUGUUGCUAUAUGUGGGGUCGCUAGGUAUAUAGUGACAGUUAAAGAGUGUCGCUAUAACCUAAAAGAGUGCUGCUAAUUUACCAACACUUAUUUAAGCAUUUAGCAACCGCCGAAACUCUAUCUCGUUGGCUGCGGUGGCGGAGGAGGACGACAGGAAAGGCUUUUCGUCUAGAAUUUCAGUGGAUUGAGUGAAGAGAGAAGAAAAGAUGGUAAUUGAUUUUUCUUUUUUUUUUUUCUUUUCUGUUUGUAAUCGGGUCAAAUGGACUGGGUGUGGUGGGUUGAGUAGAGUAAUCUUUUAUUUUUGGUUGGAUUGGGCUUUAUAUUUAGGUAUAAGUAGAUGUUUUUUUAACUUUUAGCAUAAAUGGGACACUUACUCAAAAGUGUCCCAAACAUGUGUCCCUAUAACCUAAUUCUGUUGUAGUGUGUUGAUCAUUUUAAGAAAAAUAUUCCUGAUAUAGCAGCUCCAUUUACUGAAGUGCAUCAAGAAGAUAAGGAAUUGGCUGAUCAAGAAUCGGCUCUACAACAACGGAUUUCUACUCUUAAAGAAGAGUUAGCUGCAGCCGAAUCUACUCUCGCACAAACCUCUGAGCGCCGACUUCAAUUACAAAAUCUCAACUGAAGUUCAGAAGAGAAGAAGGGAUAAGACUUAAAGAAGAGCUGUCUCAUCUUUACAAAGUGCAUCCCUUAAUGAAGCGCCGAAGGAAAGCUACUGAGACUGCCCAAGCUAAUCUUAUUGCCGAAUGGAACCAACUCAAAGACUUAUUAUCUUAAUUCGGCUUGUAAUAUUCUAACUUUGACUUUAAUUAUUUUCCCAAAUGGAUGGGUAAUAUCUCUUUAAAUAUUUUUCGUUGAUUGGUUUUUCACUUUCUGACCCAUCUCUGUUCUGCAAAUAAUAUGCAUUUCCUCUUGUGAUUCGGCUAAUCUGAAAUGAUCCUUCUCAAAUUGGGGACCAUUUUUCAUACAUUCGGUCUUUUUGACCGAUCGGAAAAACCGGCCGAAGUACUAAGUCACCAACGACAAAUAUUUUUAAUCGAACUUUCUUAUUAUAUGCAUUACGUACUCGGCUUUGGUAUGCUUGCAUAUUGUCUAAAGCUAUCAACCGAAUAUCUGUUAUCUCCUCUGCUUUGUCUUUCUUUAAAUCAAUAUAUUCAUCAACCGAGAGGUCUUUUUAUUUUUCUAUCCUUAAAGAAGGAACUGUUAUCUCAGCUGGAAUUACGGCCUCAUGACCAUAAACUAAUUGGAAUGGUGUCAUCCCUGUUGCCGUUUUAACUGAAGUUUGGCAUGCCCAUAAUACCUCGGAAAGUUUUUCAUUCCAUUUUCUCGGGUACUUUCCGAUAUGCCGCUUCAUAAGAUUGAUAAUUAUCUUAUUUGCUGCUUCUACUUGUUCAUUUGCUUGGGCAUAAUAAGGCGAAGAAUGAAGCAACUUUAUCUUUCGAGACUCGAUGAACCAAACGAACUGUCCUCCUGUGAACAUUGUCCCUUUAUCGGUUGUGACUGUCUCGGGAAUUCCAAAGCGAUGAAUUAUAUGAUCUUCUACAAAAUUGAUAAUUUCUUUUUGAGUAACCAACCGAGUAGGUUUAGCUUCCACCCACUUAGUAAAAUAAUCGAUGGCUACUAUUAGAAAUUUGUGACCAGCCAAAAAAUUCGGCUGAAUUUCUUCAAUUAAAUUUAUGGCCCAACCUCGAAAAGGCCAUGGUUUAAUUAUGGCGUACAUGUCAGAAGCUGUAUCGAGCCAUAAAAUUGACAUUCUUGGCAACCCUUAGCAUACUCUAUGCAAUCUUGAUGCAUAGUCGGCCAAUAAUAUCCUAGGUGCCGAAUUGUCCAUCUUAACUUUUUUCCUGCUAAAUGGGUUCCACAUAUUCCCUCAUGUGUUUCUCCCAUUAUCAAUAGAGCUUCUUCAGGCCCUAACACUGCGUUUGGCAUUGGUACAAGAUGGGGUAUAAGGGGGUUAUACCCCAUCUUGUACCCAAACAAAAACUCAGCUAGGGUGGAACUGCUGUUCCCAUCUUAACGGGUUAUCUCUGGGAUAACCCGCUAAGGGGUGGGAACAGCAGUUCCCACCCCGGGUUGGAACAAGCUGGAACAGCUUGUUCCAACCCCUCUGUCCUCGCUCUACUCCCGAGGGCAUCCAAGGAAACUUUCCUCUUCCUCUUCUCCCCCAUCUCGUCUCCUUCCUCUUCCUCUUCUCCCCCAUCUCCUGUCUCCUUCCUCUUCCUCUUCUCCCCCAUCCUCGGAACCCACUACUUUCGCCGCCUCCCCCAUCUUCGGAAACCGCCUUCUUCGCCGCCGGGGACCGCUAAACCUCUUAGCCUUCUUCAUUCCUCCUCGUGGCUUCCACAGUCUGAGGGUUAUGGUUGGUCGAGCCCAACCCUAGAUCCCAUUCACUGCUUGUCGCCGUCGCCCGAUCUUGUACCGAGGGCAUCGAAGGGAGCCCCUGUGCCCCCUCGUGUCUUUUCUCUUCGCCGCAGCCGCCUCAUCCCGAUCUUCUACCGAGGCUAAAAAAGGAAACCCUAGAUCUAGAUCUAGAUCUGAGGAUCUCUUGUCGCCGCCGCCUCAUCCCGAAGCUUCUUUCUACCGACGGUAAGAGAGGUGCCGCCGCCGCCGCCGCUGCCUCCUUCUUCAUUCCGCCUCAUCCCUAAUCUUCUUUGUGCUUCCUACAACCCACGGUAAGCUCUGUGAAAAGUAGCUUUGAAUGAUCCUCGCCUGUGUGAUUUAUCAUGUGCUCCGUGCUUCUCUGUGCUUGUUUGUGAAUCUCUGUGCUUUCCUGUGCUUCCCUGUGCUUCAUGAAUGUUGAUAUAUAUUAAUGCUGCCAUGUAGUAAAUAAAUUAGCUAUUUACUAUGCAAUCUGUGGGCUAUAAUCUCUGUUCACUGAAUUAGUGGCAAGGCAUGUGACCUGGGUUCUCUCGUUGCGCUGUGCAUUGUGCCCCUCUGUGCAGGCUGUGCUUUGUGCCCCCCUGUGCAGGCUGUGCUUUGUGCCCCCCUUGUGCUGGUUGUGAUAUGUGCCCCCCCUGUGCUGGCUGUGGCUUGUGGUUGCUGUCAGAAAAAUUUGAACCUCAAUGAGGAGGGCCUUAAAUUUGGCGAUGAUGAUGGCUUCCAUUUGUAUUUGAUGGAUGCUUCAUGCAUGUUCGUGUAUAUUAUUGCUGCCAUGUAGUCGAGAAACUAACUAUUUACUAUGCAAUCUGUGGUCUCUAAUCUCUGUUCACUGAAUUAGUGGCAUGCCCUGUAACUUGGGCUCUCUCAUUGCGCUGUGCUUUGUGCCCCCCCUGUGCUAGCUGUGCCUUGUGCCCCUCUUGUGCUGGCUGUGCCUUGUGCCCCUCUUGUGCUGGCUGUGAUUUGUGCCCCCCUGUGCAGGCUAUGAUUUGUGGUUGCUGUGAGAAAAAAUUUCGACUCGGUGAGGGGGGCCUUAAUUUUGGCGAUGAUGAUGGCUUCCAUUUGUAUUUGAUGGAUGGUAUGGAUGUUAAAAUCUAUACAACCCCAUACUUAUUGGAAGCCAAAUGAGCCACCAAUCCAUACAUAUGAGCAAAAUGGCCCAAUGAACAUACGAUGGAUUGGCGUUUUUGUUUGGGCAUUCUUUGUCUUGUGUUAUUGGCCACUACUUUUUUAAAUUAUAAAUUGCCAUGAUUUGUUUUGUCUUCACAAUGAACAUUAAUAUCAGUCUUCAUAUCAUGUUGAAAUGAAUACCUCGCUACUUGCUUAAUUUUUUUACUUAUAAAUGAUGUAGUGGUUCUUUCUUCUCAUAUAAUGUUCACAAUUAUAUCGUCAAACUAUGUAUAAGUACAGAUGCGUCCUGGCAAAAGACCCUCUUCUAAGUCCUUUUUAAACCAAACUAUGGGAGUGGACAAAAAUCCAAUCCCCAGUGGAGAUAGAGAAGGAAGUGGGAGAGUGCGUAAUCAAAUAUGGACCCGCACUGCAAACUGGACUGAGCAUUUGGACUCUAUUCUAUUGAGUAUUAUGAUAGAGGAACAUACACUUGGAAACUACGUAAAUGGUAUUUUCAAGCAAGUAGCGUGGGUUCGAAUCAUUUCAUCGUUCAACUCGAAAUCAAACCAGAACCUGUCGAAGAAUCAAAUAAAGAAUCGCCUCAAAGUUCUCAAGAGAUUGUACCUCACCUAUCACACUUUGGCAAAUAAGAGCAGUUGGGGGUGGGACUGUGUGAAUAAUAUUCCCACAGCCGGUGAUCCCUGUGAUUGGGACGCAGUCAUAGCGGUACUGUUUUUGAAUUUUGUUUUUGAAUUUCUUUGAAGUUCGUAUUAUUAUACAUAUAUAAUGAUAAUAAUCUUUAUUCAGGAGAAUCCGGCUUACGCGAAGUGCAGGGACAAACCUUUGCGGCAUAUAAGGAUAUUGAAUUCCUUUCUAGAUCGACUACUGCCACGGGACGAUUUGCAAUGUCCUCGCAGAUGCCGGUAGCUAUAAUUGAUAGCUCUUCCUCUUCUUCUCCUGGUGAGGAGGAUACUAUAAUGGGUGUUAGGGAGAUAUCGUUAAAUUACUUAUCCCCUCGCUUUGAACCAGGUUCCUCAAGCUCACCAAUACCUGAAAAUGUACCCGGUAAUAAUACUUCGCGUUCCUCCAGCCCUCCACUAGUGCCACCAAAUGUAGGAGGUAGUGCUAGUGGUUCAGGAUAUAGCUCCGCAGGUAAAAGACCUCGCUCCCCACAAGCGUCAAUUCCUCCAAAGAAACAAUCAGCUUCUGCCGCGGGACGAAAGAAAAAAAGUGACAUUGCCGGUGAAGCAAUAGUUGAAUUGGUUGAAAUUGGAAAACAAAAGCUUGAUUUUGUAAAGCAUAUGUAUCAACAAGAUACCAGCAAUCAGAGUUCUAUUCCUUCAAUUGAAGUGUGCAUGGAGAGGGUUUAUAAUCUGCCUGGAAUAACAGAUGAGCAGGCAUUAGCUGCAGGGGAAGCUUUGAUGAAUGACAAACACCGACGAUUAUUUAUGACAAUGAAAGAUCGACUUGCAAUUAGGUGGAUAGAGCGCCAAGUCUCGCUCCAAGACGUAUUAUAUAAGCAAAACUUUCCUGGUUUCUAGUAGGCGUAUGUUAUUGUGUUGUGCUGUUUGUAUUUUAGAGUAGUUAGUUGUGUGUUGAGGCAUGUACGUUUUAAAAUAGUAUGUUUGCUUACUCGUAUUAUUGUUAGGUUUUAUGUCUGCUUAUGAACAUUAUUUGCUUUCAUGUGUCUUUUUUUUAUGUUGUAUGUUUAGACUUGAUUAUGCAUCAUGUUUCAUCUUGCUUAAUAUGUCAUAUGGAUUGCGUUCGAUUUAAUGUAUGAUAUUAUCCUUGCAGCAGUGAUGGCUGAUAGAUUGUAUCGUUCAGUUUUUUCUUCGACAACAUUAGCAAAUAUUAUGUCAAUAUUAGAUGAUGAUGAUGACUACUGGGAUCAAGUAUAUGUGAUACUAUUUGGUCAAGACUUUCUGACAUUUUCUAAUUCACUAUUAUACAAACGGCCGUGUCGUACUCGACCCUUUACUGGACACCAAAUGGUAUGUGAUAUUUUGAAUGGUCAUCCAGACAGAGGGUACGACCAAUUUCGCAUGACGACUACAUCUUUCGUUGCACUCCGUGAUGUUCUAUUGGCUCGGGGCCUGAUAAGAGGAACACGAUAUAUGACCGCUGAUGAACAACUAGCAAUAUUUUUAUUUUGCGUAGGUCAUGGUGUAGCAAAUAGAGUACUUGCUGAAACAUUCCAACAUUCUGGGGAAACAAUUAGCAGACAUUUCAACAAUGUCUUGCGGGGUAUUGUAAUGUUGAAAGAUGAUUACCUUUCUUUGCCGCCAAAUAAUGCAAUGGUGCAUCCAAGAAUUCGUGAUAAUCUCAAUUUUCAUCCUUUCAAGGUUGAUUUUAAUACCAACAUGCAUUUUUAUUUCCCUUUGGAUGAUAUUUAUAUUUUAAUGUAUAUGCUGCUUGUUGUGUUGUAGAAUGCAAUUGGCGCGAUAGACGGAACACACAUUCCUGUGAUUGUACCAAGGAGCGAUCAACCACGAUUUCGAUGUCGCAAAGGGUUCACAUCCCAAAAUAUGAUGGCGGCAGUCUCAUUUGACCAUACUUUUUUCUUCGUAUGCACAGGUUGGGAAGGAUCAGCUGCAGAUAUGCGUGUACUUCGAUGGGCAUGCGACAGUGGAGGAUUUACAGUUCCAGAUGGUAAUUGUCUUACUGUUAUUUUCAUAUUAUGAAAAUUAGUUGUACAACCCCAUUGAUGAUUGCAACAUAUUAUUAUCUAUGCUAUUAUUCGCAGGUAAAUAUUAUUUGGUUGAUUCGGGGUACGCAAACACCGACAAAUUUCUUGCACCCUACCGAGGUGAGCGAUAUCAUCUAAGUCAGUUUGACAGUACUGCAAGAGCCCGGACGCAUCGCAACCCCAAAGAUCUCUAUAAUCAUCGACAUGCUCAGUUGAGAAAUGUCGUAGAAAAAACUUUCGGUAUAUUAAAGAAGCGGUUUAAAAUUCUAAAUCACGCAACACCGUUUUCGUAUAAAGUACAGUGUAUGAUUGCUAUGGCAUGUUGUAUAGUUCAUAAUUUCAUUCGAAGAUCACAAGGGAAUGAUAUGUAUUUUAAUGAAGAGAUAGACCAAGUGCAUACGAGUGAUGAUGACGAGUACGUGACAAAUACUGUCGGCACAGAUGAAUCAAGACGCGGCGAUAUUAUGCGUAGAACUAUAACCGAGCAGUUAUGGAGUAGCAGAUGUUGAAUGUUUGGUACCGCAACUCAUUGUGACUAUUGUCUAUGGUUUAUGUAUGCUUAAAUACUGUAACUAUUAUCUAGGUUAUGUUUGUAUUGAUGCAUAUGUUAUGUUGUUUGAAUGUUUGGUAUUAAACUCAUUGUAAUUAUCGUCUAUGAUUUAUGUAUGUUGAAACAUCUGUGGUUUAUCUAGAUUUUUAUUGUAUUGACGCAUAUUAUAUGUUGUUUGCUACUAUGGGGUAAAUGCUGUUUGAAUUGUUUGUAAUAUUCGGCUCGGUGAAUGUAUUAAUCUAUAUGUUAAAAUGUAUGUAAAUGUAUCACUGAUUUAGAUUUAUCCGUUAAUGUAUAAUUGGUUCAAGACAUAUAAUAGCAUAUAUGUUGGCUGCCAAACUUAUAUUUGUUUUAUGGUAUUAAUUAAUGUGCUUGAUGAUAAUUUUUGUAAAUUUUUUGUCGUAUUAUUAUUUGUUAUAUUUGCUAAAUACUGAUGGUAACUUUGGAAAAAUUAUAUGUUUAUUUUAGUUUAGGUUCAGGACUAGUGUUGAUUUUUGGUAUGUUAAUAAAUUUUAAAUUUUUUAAGAUUUAAUAAGAUUUAAUGAUCAAACUAAAUAUAGAUAAAAAUUUGACCAAGUAUUUUACAUUAUAAUUCUUAUUAAGUUUAAAUUUUCAAGUAGAUUAGAAAUAAUUUAUACAUGCAUCAAAAUAUUUUACCUCCUUUAAUAUUGCUUAUAAUUCAUAUUAAAAGAGAGGGGUAAUUUUGGCAUAUUGAAAAUUUCAACUACCAACUAUUCCUCUUAUUCCCAAUAACCAUCCAAACAAAAUUUUUCUAGUUCCAGCUUAUACUCACAUUUUCAUCCAAACAAAAAAAUACCCUUGUUCCUACAAAAAUCCAUACUUGUACCUAUCCCCGGUAUAACUAGUUCCUACUAAUUCCCGAUCCAAACGGAGCCUAAGCAUUUUAAUAGAACUUCUUCGGCUGUUCUUUUGUAAAGUUGACCAUCCAACAAACAAUAGCUGAGAGCUCUUCUUCGAAUAUUAUAAUCGACCCUUAUAUUAGGAUCCUCCAAAUAUUUGAUCAAUGAUUUUCUCCAAUCUUCUUUCACCUUUAUAGGAGCUAUAAUCGGUCCUCGUAUAUGAAUCGAAGGUAGUAAUCUCCUCUGAGGCGAGAUUGAAAAAUGGUUUGGUUUUAUCGAGUUUUUCCUUAAUUUAGUUCUUGAAUUGUCAAAGGCAAGCUAUGCCUUUUGGUCGAUCACCAUGUGUAGAGAUUGAGGAGCGAAACAACUUCGAUCGGUGCUAACCCUGGGUUUGUUUUUUGACGGUUCAACAGCGAUCUGAGGAGCGUGAUAGUGAUUACGUCUCUGAGGUCAUGUUUGUCAUUUGAUUUCAAACUAGAUUUUCGGUUGUUCCAAACCAAGCCGAGUAUUGAGGCUUGAUAAAUCGACAUUGGAGAUAUUGCAAGAAUUGAAGUAAGUCAAUUCAAAGUAUCGGUGAUUCACAGUAGUUAAUCAUAUAGCAGGUUUAAUGGAGAAUACGUGGAGGAAGUCCGAUUGCAAAAUUAUUUGAGGAAGACAAUAGAAAUUAUUAUGCAAUUUUCGGAGAAGCCGAACUUUGAACAUUUGAGAGUAGGAAAUGAAAGGCAGGAAUUGGCCCAAUCGGCUUCAGGAUAUAGGAGAGCGAAGUCCAGAGUUAAAGUCAUACNNNNNNNNNNNNNNNNNNNNNNNNNNNNNNNNNNNNNNNNNNNNNNNNNNNNNNNNNNNNNNNNNNNNNNNNNNNNNNNNNNNNNNNNNNNNNNNNNNNNACGCCGCGCGGACCACACACCGCUCCAACGCGCACACGAAGCCGAUCCGUCGCUCCCAAGCGUUGUAAGAUCUUCUACCACCAACCUCAAUUUUGAGGAGGAUUUAGAGAGAUGAGAGGAUAUUACGAGAGAAAGGAGGGGUUUCUACUCUACUCCAUGGUGCAGUGGUGUGGGCGUGCUCGGGUGAAGGAGAAAGUAAGAAGAGCUGCUUGCCGCUCUUUAAUUAACACCCUCAAAACAUCUAUGCACCGGGCAGCUUGAAAUCUGUAAAGUUCGUUGGAGCUCUGUCGUAUGUCCGUUUGAGCUCAAAUUGACAGGAAAAGUUCGGUUUCACUUGUAUGCCAAGAAAUUUUAGAUAUUUCAGUUUCGGACCUCGCUGUUGAUUCACUGAAAAGUUACCGAAAUGCAAUCUUUUAUCCAGAAUUAGGCUUUCGAAUUUUAUUCUCACUCGCUACGGUGAUCAGAAAAAUAUGAAUCUUAUAUCUAGCCUCAUAAAAAUAUUUCUGACAUCUCUGCCAAUUUUCAUAAUUUUCUGAGACUGUGCAUUUUCUGCUAAUUUAUCUGCCCCGUUUCUCACAGAAAAUUCUAAAUCUUCUGUUUUCGCUCCGAUUUCAGCACAGGUUAUUCCCAACCUAUAUUUCACUUCUCUAAAUCCAAUAAAAAUAGUAUCUCAUACUAUUUUUAUUUAUUUCUAUUUUUAUAUUUAAAUCCGGUAUAUUACAUUACACCGCAACCUUACCGGAACCAUUUAAAUGUACACUGUAACUUCAUAUUUUUAGAAAUUCGGUACCUUACAAUAGUGUUGUUAGAAAUCUCACUUAUUUCAGAAUUCACCACCAAAAAUCUAUUUGCAUUGCUAUCUUAUGCAUAACCCACAAAAAUAGUAUCCACAGUUUUAAGUCCAAUCUUUCUCUUCUUAUUCUCAGGUAUCUUCACUGUAGCUAGACACCCCCACACUUUAAAAUAAUUCAAAUUAGACUUCCUACCUUUCCAAAGCUCAUAGGGAGACACAUUCGAAUUAUUGUGGGGAAUUCUAUUCAAAAUCACAGAUGCAGAAAUCAAAGCUUCCCCUACAAGUUCUCGGGUGCGCCUGAGCUAAUAAUCAUUGAAUUCACCAUAUCCAUUAGAGUCCUAUUCUUACGUUCAGCAAUUCCAUUAGAUUGAGGUGUAUAAGGAGCAGUCACUUGAUGCACAAUUUCAAACUCUUGACAAAAAACAGUCAUCUCAUUUGAAGUGUAUUCACCACCUCGAUCAGACCUCAAAAUCAUGAUUUUCUGAUCUAAUUGAUUUUCAACCUCAGUCUUAUAAAUCUUGAAUCUGUUUAAAAUCUCAUCUUUUGAUUUGAUCAAAUAAACAUAACAAUAUUUUGAAUGAUCAUCUAUAAACGUCACAAAAUAUUUAGUUCCACCUCUACUAGAUCUAUAUCCAUCACAAACAUCACUGUGCACCAAUUCUAAAAGAUCGCAAUCUCUAUCCACAGAUUUAAAUGGUUUCCUAGGCUCCUUAGCUUUGUAAUAUACCGAAAAUUCGGAAAAUAAAAAUGUCGAACUUUAGUCAAAUUGACCAAAGUGCGAGGACGGUACACUUCGGAAAGUCCGAAGGUGUUAAAAUGAUUAAAAGUGAGUUACGGGAGGUUUUCGAGAGCUAUAGAAUCAAAAUCUGCAUUCUGCAGUUUUGAGCUCUCGGGGACCGGUCCCUGGUGGGAGAGACCGGUCCCCGAACGCGUAUGAAAUGAGACAGUCGAAAAAUCGGCUAAGUCCUGAGAAAUUAGAUCUCGGGAACCGGUCCCUGCCUAAGAGACCGAUCCCCGAGAGACCGGUCCCCCAAAGAGAGACCGGAUGCAUCGCGCGCGGCAGCUCUGGCUGCGCAGGGAGAGCACUCGGAGACCGGUCCCUAGUCGGGGAGACCGGUCCCCGAGCCCGAAAUCUGCCCAGUCCAGGCAGUUGAAUAAGAGGAAAGUUGAGGGGUUUAUUUGCAUUUUUGCAGCCCAAGAGUUAUGUAGAGGGCUGAGAGAGCCUUUUCUCUCAUUCUCUCCCUCUCAAACACUCUCAUCUCUCUUUCUCUCUCUAGAAGACAAAGAAGGAGAAGAAGAAGACAAAGGAAAAAAAGGAAAAGAAGGUGGAGGAGAAGCCCUUGGAGUGAAGCCACUUCAUCCUCUUCCUCUCUAGUGCAAGUUAGGGAAAACUUUGAGGUAAGCUUCAACCCUAAUCAUGCUAAAACCCUAAUGUGAGAACCAAAUGACCUAGAAAUGGUUUUUAAGGAGCUUUUAGAGUAUUUGAAGCUUUUCUUUUGCUUCUUUUCAGAUCAAGGCCAUGGAAAUGGUGAAGCUUGAGGUGAGCUUCAUCACCUCUCAUGGUGAAAUCCAAACUAGGGUUUGGAAUGAGUUAGGAAUGGUUUAGAUGAACUCUUUAGAGUAUAUUGAAGCUACUUUUGCUUCCCAAUGAGAUCAAACCCUAGAUUUGAUAUAUGUGUUGGAGCUAGGGCACCAAAUUGGGGCUUUUGCUUAUGGAAAUUUUUAAGUGCAAUUGACCCUCUAGAAACCUAAUUGGGAGUAUUUCCGACGCGUUGGUGUGCUCGGAUUUACGUUACGAAAAGCCGAUGUAAAGAUAUGGGCAAAAUGGCCUAAGUUGGCUUCGUUUUGCCGCAGGUGAAGAACGAGGAGCCUAUAAAUCUCAAGAAAAUCGUCGGAGCACCUAAAUAGACCUACGAGGUGGGUGGUGCUUCUCAAACUCAUUGAACUUCUCUCUAUGCCUAAUGUGUCAUUCAUUUGAACAUGUGUAUAUAUAUUGUUGCAUGCAUUUUAGGGUAAAGUAAUGAUAAAAUGUGAUGAUGCACGAUUGUGAAUACAAUUUGCAUAAUAUGAUGAAUGAGAACUAUGUAAACGUCGAAAACCCUAUGUGUAUGCAUCAGAGAAAGUGAGCACCCAAAGUGAGCAAAAGAACAGAGUGACACUAUGACAUAGAUCGAGUGGCAUUUGAUAAAGUUGAUGUAAAAUGACACUAGAGAUAAUGUGAGGUAAAGAACCAAUGUGAUGUAAAGAAUGAUGAAAAUGACAAUGCUUAAAGUUAAAGUAAUGUGGGGAGUAAAGAACAUGAAGUGCUAGAGGUAGCCAAAAGUAAAGAAUGUAAAGAACAAGAAUGCUAAAGAUAGCAAAAGUAAAAGAAAAGUAAAGAACAACGAUUGCUAGAGUGGCAAUAUAAAGUGAAAUAAAGAACACUAGAGUUAGUGUAAAGUCAAGAUUGAACUUACAAUCUUUUGAGUUAAGGAUUCGAUCAUACUUGCUAUGAGUUCCGUGCUCGAGGGCGGUCGCUCCCCCUCGGGCGAUGCGCUCCGGAGUUAUGCAUCACGGGUUGGAGUAAACCCGAAGGACGGUCCUAGCGGGUGAGUUCCUGCGAUGAUGGACUUAAUGUGAAGCAAGUUAAUGUGGCGAAACCCCCGGGUUAGCCUUGAGAUUAAAGAAUAAAGAAUAAAGAACAAAGAACAAAGAGUAAAGUGAAAAGAACAAAGAACUUGCAUAAUCUGCAUAUGUUAAUGUUGAGCAUAUUCCUUGCUUUUGUUCAGGCAUAUUAGCAUCAUGUUGUAGAUUGGUUACUAUAUUUCAGCUUAUCCUUUCUAUUAUGCCUGAGUUAGUCCUAGUGGGAAAGUCGGUGAUGUUGAGGCCGAACCCACUGGGAACUUUGUUGUAGUUCUCACCCCACUAUUUCCACAGAGCCGGGACCGAGCGAGCCGGCGAGCGACCGAGGUAAAGGUAUCGCGCCUUAGUCAGAGGCCACCAAAGUUGGGUUUCAUUUUGUAGUAAAGUACCCUAUGAUCAUCUUUUGUACAUGAUGGUAAAUGAUGUAAAGAAAAGAAUGUAAUGUGUAUUUUGAGGUAAAUGUGAUGUAAGAAAGAAAUAAUGAAAUGAAAUGUAAGGAAUUCGAAAAUGAACCAGAUGAAUGCAUGUAUAUGAUCAAAAAAUGAAUCAUAGUACAAGUGAAUGUUUAGUUUCCUUAUUCUUUCACUAAUGGCUAUUGCUUACCCUCGUGUAAGCCGUUUGUGUAUGUUUCCGCUAGUGCUUUUCUCUAUUGAUGAAAAUGUACAUGUGAUGAGCCUUGGGCGGAUAGGGGAAACUCUGUCCGUUCGGUGUCUGUUUGACGUGCUCGGGCCGGCCCAAAUUGGUAUCGGUCUCGGGGCGUGACAAGCUUGCACACAUAUUUCACAUCUAUAAUCAGGUAAAUUAGAUUUAGGAAUCAAAUCAAAAUGCAUCAAUCUUUUGAUAGUAUUAAAAUUCACAUGUUCCAAUCUUCCAUACCAAAUAUUAAGAGAAAUAACAUUCAUCACAAGAGCACUUUCAUUAAUAAAAGGAGAAGAUACAAAUAAUUUAAAUAAACCAUCACUCAAAAAUUCUUUUUCUACAAAAUUCACUCCUUUCGUUAUAACUACCCUAUUACAUUCAAAAACUAACUUAAAACUCUGCUGAGCUAGAAGAGAACCACUAAUCAAAUUCUUCCUAAGGUCGGGAACAUGGUGGACUCCGUGCAAGGUUAAGGUCUUCCCAGAGGUCAGCUUCAAAUCUACUCGACCUGUCCCUAGCACGUAAGAAGAGGCUGCAUUCUCUAUAUUCACCGAUCCUCCACACGAGUCCUGAUAGUGGAGUCAGAAGGGUCAGACCCUGCAGUCAACAUAUUCAUCUGGCGGUCAGGUAAAGCUUCCUUCUUCUUCUUAGGUACGAAAGGUCGAUUCUUGCGGAAGUAACAAUCCUUCGCAAAAUGAUUCAUCUUCCUACACACAAAACAACCAGAAUUGCCUCCACUUUCCUCAGGUUUAGGUUUUUUAAAGUUUGGGUUGAACUUCCUUCGGUAGAAAGGCUUCUUCUUAAAGUUUCGGUGAGGCUAGAAGUUUCUACCCUGACUUUUGGGAUUCUCUACUAGGUUGGCUUGGGUUGAAGGUCCACUGGGCUUCUUAUCCUUAGCUCGGUUCGACUCUUCUAUCCUAAUGGAUCUUAGGACAUAAUUCAGGGAUAGCUCUCUCUGAUUAUGUUUAAGAUCAUUUGCAUGGUUUGACCAAGAGGGUGGCAACUUAUCUAUAAAGGCGGCAACUAAAAAACUUUCAUCAAGAUCUACCCCACUGGAUCUAAACUGCUGAACUAUAUUCUCAAAAUCAUGAAGCUGGUCAGACAUAGACCUACUAUUUACCAAUUUAAAUUUAAUUAGAUCAGACGCCUGGUAUCUCUUCUGGGUAGGAUCAACUUGACCAUACUUAGCUUCUAAGGAUGUCCAAAGUUCCCUAGCUGUCUUAGCACCACAGUAGAUGUCAUAUAAUUUGUUAGAUAGGGUACUAAGAAUCCGAUUUAAACAAUGAUAAUUGAUCAUGUUGUGAUCAACAGGAGUACGGUUGUAGUUGCAGAUGUAGUUGCAGUUUCAGUAGUGGGAGGAGUGGAUCCAGUCUGGGCUUGGCUUCGAGUAAGCGGUCGAUUGACCACAUUCUGGGCUGCACCUACAGGUGCAGAUAUUCUCGGCAGAAUCCGAGAUAGCAGAAACCAACCCAAGUGUAGUAAGCUAGAACCUCAUUUGGUUCUCCCACCUCUUAAAAUUACGACCAUCAAAAGUAAACGAUUUCGCCGAAUCCUCCAUAAUAAAACAAAAUCUGUUCACAAAUUAAUUCUACUGUUAUGUCAAAAAACAGUUUUGAAUUUCAGAAAAAUAACAGUAAGAGUUAUAUAUUAAUUUGUAGAAAAGAAAUACUUUAAUUACUAUAAUAAAAGAAACAGAAAGAUUAAAAAGAAUUUCGCUUCUAGAUUGUUAGAAAAACUUUCUGAUCUUUUAUUACAAUAUUCUUUAAAAACCAAUUCAAAAAUUUAAUUACUCCUAGCGAUACAACGACCACGUUCCACCUCGUCGGCACGCUUCCAAGAUGGCGCAAGACGAACCCAACCAGCUCUAGAUCGAGCAAAAGAAAACUCGGCGAAAAUCAAGAAAGUAGAAAAAGAUGAGAGGCUUUAGGUAUGCUCGGGCCUAAGAUUAUACGGAUAAAGAUUAGGAUUAGUUUUAGGAUUAGUAAAAAGAUAAGUAUUAAAAUAAAGAUAAAACCGACAAAAUAAAAUAAACCGGGUGUACAGAUCGCGCGCGCCGCAGCCCGGCCAGGCUCGGCUUGGCUAGUGCCGUGUGUGUAUAUAAACGAGAGCAUAACUCUCACUUUUUUCCAAACAACUAGCUUGAGAAUAAAGCAAUAUAUAAAAACAACAAACACCCUUUUGUUUUCCAAUGUGGGACUAAACAUCUCACAUUAAAAUUUUAGUUGGGCUCCCCAAGCGGCCCAUUAAUAAUUGUUGGGCUCCUCAAGUGGUUUUAAUAAGUUUUAAAUCACAAAAUCCAAUAAAAACCCAAUAAUGCCUCCCCAUCCCCUCCAACUAUUGUCCCCCACCUUCUCUAGCUCCUCUCUAUAUAACUUGCAUGUAUGAUUAGAUAUUCUAUUGCGCAGCUCUAAUUAACCUCCAAGUACUAUUAGAUGUAGGUCCCAUGUAACGACCCAGCCCACUAGCAACAAAAACUCGUUGGGCCCAACAACCGGCCCAAAAUGCUUAAGCCCAGUUAUUAUUACUAAUGUCUAAGUCUCUUAUAAACCCAAUGACAACCACAUUCCCAUCCGAUGUGGGACUAUUGGGGUGUCACAGACUCCCCCCGUUAAGGACCUGACGUCCUCGUCAGUCCAAUCACACACACAGCCCAAGAUCACUAGGCGAUGUGAGACUCGUCUCGCUAGCCCGUCAUCCAGACCCUGGCUCAGCCGAGACUCGCCACACAUGUCCAGCUGGUAAACCGGCUCUGAUACCAAAUGUAACGACCCAGCCCACUAGCAAUAAUAACUCGUUGGGCCCAACCACAGCCCAAAAUACUUAAGCCCAGUUAUUAUUACUAAUGUCUAAGUCUCUUAUAAACCCAAUGACAACCCCAUUCCCAUCCGAUGUGGGACUAUUGGGGUGUCACAUCCCUCUAAUCUAAAAGCUGAGAACUUCAUAGGACUCAAAUUUGAAUAUCGGGUUUGAAUUGCAAGGAGAUACGACGGUUGCGACUCGAAUUAGUCUUGGGUUGCGUCAUGAGAGAUUUUAUGAAAGUGAUAAAUUGAAAGAAAACUUACAGAAAUGUUGUAUAGCCGUUGAGUGUAUAUAUGAAAAAAAGUUAAGUCUUGGGGAGUAAAUGCAUAGACUCAAUUGGAGUGAGUCCAUAAUAAUUUAUAAUAAAGUGUUUGAGGGCAUACAAACUGGGUUGUACUUUUUCAGCUGUGUAUGUAUCCAGCCAUUCUCAACCCAAUUGAGUGCCGCGCGCCCAAUAAAGUUUCUCGACAUGAUAUACGCUAGCCCCUCGACGCCUUACUCGUACCCUUUGGCGUAUGGACGAUAGGAUUAGAUUUAAAGUCUCACUGUCAACUUUAGGUCAUAUCCUUACUACUUGACUCGGCAUACAUCGACUCACACGACUCCUACUCUUGAAUUCUACUCCAAAAAUCAUCAUGACCACUAUACCAUUAUCAAGACCACUAUACUAUCACCAAUAAACACUGAAUUGAUUUUUCUAUUUAGAAGUUUUAAUUAAUCAACUCACUCGAGCCUAUGCGUCCACUCUCCGAAACUUAACUCUUUUAAGUGUACUAAACUAUCAAAUCGCAUUUUUAUGGUUUCUCCUUGAAUUUGUUAUUUUCAUAAAACCCACCAAAUUAGUUCACUACAUUAUUUAGAAAAGUAACCAUGAUUUUCAAGCUUAUGGAUUUGGGCCUAAUAAUACAUAUUAGUCUUUCACUCCUCAAGUUUGUUUUUUUUUUUUCCCUCAAAUCUAUUAGUUGAGGGGGUUUAUGUGACACUCCCAGAAUUUGGAACAGUUAUAUAUAUAUAAGGUAUAGUAGGACAAAAACUUUUUAAUAUGGCUAUAAUAUUUUAGGCAGUGACUAGACUUAAAACGUAAAGAGGGAUGAAUGAGUCUACGACUAUAGUAGUUCUAGGAUAGGUGAAUCCCUUGGAAAGUAGGGCGCCACAGUUAGUAUCAGAGCCAAUUGGAAAGUAUGAUCAGAUGAGUCUUAUUAGAGCUAGGAUCAUACAGUGAGUAGAGCGCAACUUCUCGGCUGACAGCCGUUGUGGGUGGAGUGUGGCUCCCCAUAAGGUCGAUCGGCUAAGGCUAGUAAGAUUAGUCUCACAAUGCAUGGUAGUUCUGACUUAUUUUGAACCUGAUAAGGGCAUCAGGGCUUAUAGAGAGGGGAAUGCAACACCGCAAGGAUAUGGAAUAGCCUUAUCUAGAGAAUUAUCUGGAUGAUCAAUAAUUCUCAUUGGGCUGAGUUGGAAUUAUUCCAAUCCACUGAAAGGAGUUUCAGUGAUAUUGUUGAUAGUGAUCAGAAUAUAUCUCACUACUAAAUAGAAUAGAAUCUAUAGGGUCACACAGAUAAGAGGUUGUGAUUGAUUGGAUAGCUAGAUCGUGAUUUUUGAAUCUCCGGAGGGCCUAAUUGUCAAUAUGUUGAUAAUUGGACUAAAUUGUAAUUAUUACAAAUUAGUAGUAUCAAAAUAUAAAUGUUAUAAGAGAGGACUUUUUAACGGUUAGUAAAUUAUGAGAGGACUUAUGUGCAAAUAUUGCAUUAUUAAUUUGAUAUGAUCAAAUUAGGAUAAAGUUCAAAUCUAAUCACAGUAGGAUUUGAUCGAUUUAAACAAUUAAGAAAAUGAUAAAUUUAAAUCUAGAUUUGUUCUUAUCCUUAAUAGUUAUUAUAUUAUUAAAAGAGCAUUAUAUCCCUCUAUAUAAUAUAUGAGAGUUUUUAAAAAAUCUUAGCCGUUAUCACUCUUCCUCUCUCUUUCCUUCUCUCUUUUUCUCUAGCAAGAAAGACGUUCUUUACAAGAGAGCUAGCACCCUGGUGAGGACAUCGAUCAAAUCACCAACCUCGUGUGAAUAUCUAUAGAGGCUGAACGCGUGUGCGGCUUCAAGAGAACCUAAUUUCACGAUCAUCAAAUUGUGGUGAAGAUCUACCCGCGCAAAGGUAAAAAUUGGAUUUUUCCUUUCCUCCUUUAAUUUUAAAGAAUAUGAGGGAUUCUAAUUGUGUGGUUUUUGAGAUCAGAUCUCGAGUUUUAAAAAAAAAUCAAAUUGUUUGAUUUUAUUUCCACUGCGAUUUUACAGUAUGCAAUUUUCUAACAAUUAUGUCAUACAAUUAUAAGCUCCAAUUUACAUUUCAAAGCAUGCAACCACUAACCAGAGUUACAUAUGACCCUAGAAUAUAGUUCCCAUACAAUAUGAUACAUGGCAAAAAAUAGUGACUUAGACAUAGAAAAAAACUCGACUAUUUCGGAUAGCAUCACCUACCUCGUAUCGACGUCUAGAAUUGGGAAAACCAAGCCUCGCAAUUUGUCUUCGCUGAUUUAGCUCGACCGAAGGCUAACGAAUGAUAAUCAACAAUUUCUCUCACUCGAACACUGUAGGCUGAUCGAAAUCCCAAUUUGAGUUGUUUCUUGCAUCGAUUUACCCUUCAAUUAAGGAGACAAGAGAUCAAUUUCACCAAAAACCUCAUUUCCACAAAAUUCCUAAUUUUUGCCAUAGGGUUUGCACCCUUUCAAGAACACCAAAAAUCUCUUUUGGGGUUUCUUGUCUAUCCUAGGUUAGAAUCUCAUAGGAGUUCCCAAAAUACUAAUAAAAGACGGUUUAAAUAUCAAAACCUCACCUUAGGAUUCUCUUCUCCUCAAGCUUCUCCCUGCACUAGGCUUACUCUUUGCUCCAAAGCCUCUUGCCAAGCUAAAUCUCUCCAAGUCCCUUGGUUGGAAAGAGCUCUAGAGAGAGAAAAAUGAGAGAAGUGAGGUUGUGUGGGUGUAAUAGAGAGUGAGGGACUCUCUUGUAUUAAAAGAAGAAGGGGUCGUUGGAGUAUUAAACAUAUCCCAACAUUUGCAACUAAACCCCUCAAAUACCAAUAUUUGCACCCAUUCAAAUUCUACACUUCGUAACAUUGAGUACCGGUACUCAAAUUGGUGUACUGGUACUCAGGCACUUAGUUCUGGUACUAAGGGUCCAGUUCCGCAAAAUCCGAAAGUUAGUUUUCUGGGCACAACACAGGGUUCCGGGACCCCCCUUUGGUACCGGUAUACAGUGUGACAAUCCGCAGCUUAUGUAGAUUUCUCAUCUCAGAGCUAGUUUUUGCAUCCGAUUUGUGCUGGCAAUACUCGUACACCCUCUAAACGACUCCGAAAUCAUCCAAAUUGCUUCAUAGGGCAUACUUACACUAGGACUCCCCAAUUUGGAGAAGUCCGAUGCAUUACACCAACUUUUCACCGUUGUCUAGUGCAAUGGCGAUUGGGACAUAGUCCGAAUUGAUUUUCUGCGAUCGAGUGUAGAAGAAAUUAUGACAGAGCCAGUAGAGGAGAAGGUAUGCUCUUUCUUGGUGAUUGGAGCAGAGGUCUGACCCGCGAACCACUGCAUGGAUUUGGUAUAGGCUAGGUCUGCCUUUGGGUCUAGAAAGGCCUCGAACUUUGUCGCGCCGCCAAGGUUAUAGGCCAUGGACAUGAUGGUGCCGUGUGGGCAGAGACAGAGGAUCGCCACCACAUCGAAGAGGGUUGGAGUGAAAGGCCUCGACUAGAAAAGAAAAGUAUUCAAAGUAGAGAGCCAGAAACAUAAAGCCGCAGCAAGAAAAAGGUUGUCGGCUUGGGGAGGAGUCCUCAAGUUGGAUGGCAUUGUAAAUCUCGACGUCGCGCCACAGAGCAGUAAACAAUCCUUCGACUCGAUCCAACCAAGCUAGGUAUGCUUUUGAGAUGCUAGGCUAGGUACGGAGGCUUUUUCUUAUUGACCUAAACAAGACCAGAAAUGAAGAUAGGCGAUGUCCGCCAACAAGGGAAGCCUUUCUGCAGAAAAAGGAAAGUCGUCGUCCUUAGGUAGCCUCAACAAAGAAAGGGCCGAGGACGAAGCGGGAAGGGUCGAUCACAUGUAGUUUCAAAAGACAGAAGCCGACAUUGGGAGAUGAGGAAGAGGGAGAAUCUGAGCCAUUGGAGAAAAAAGUCUCUGGUAGAGAGAAAGAGUUGAAAAAGGGGAGUUGAAGAAGAAGAGUCGAGAAGAAGAGCAAGAAAGAUGAAGUCAUCGGAGGGAGUUUUGAAAUAAGUUUUGAUGAUGACGAGAUGACAUCAACUAUUAAAUGUCUUAAUUAAUACCCUAGGUAAGACAAAAGGGCGUAAAAAAUCGUAGCCGUCGAAGGACAACAUCAAGUACAAAAUGACCAAAGGCAUGGCCAAUCAAGGCCGCCAAAUGGAAAAAGUAUUAUGACCAUUGGGGAUGGUGAAUCUCAACCGUUGAACCCGCGGUGUUUGAUCUCGGCUGCUGAUAGAGCAAUAUCAGUCACUUGAAACGGUUGUUACGAAGAAUACUGUAGGGCCCAUUAUUGGCACCAUAAAAAUAGCGCCAGAUGGUAAAAUAGUUCAAGCCACGUGAGUAAAAUGACAGGAGCGAGACAAAAGGCAACACAUCGUAGGUCGGGAGGAGUACGCCUAAAAUAGAAGGGCAGUUUAGGCGGGAGUAGUUGAAGUCGUGGUGGAAUGGUUUUGUGGCUAGCAAGGGAUCAGCCGAGGCAUAACCCAAGGAAAUAGGAACGCGCCGAUGAAAGGGGUCAUUCACACGAGCAAGAGACCACAACAAAUUCAUAUCCUUUAUUUUCGGCAUUUAUAGUUUUUCUGGAGAUAGUCCAUAGAUUUUCUUGUUAGUUUUCUUUUUCGGAGCUUAGUUAAGAGCGUGGUUCAGUAUUUCUCUAGGAGUAGAUUUUAUUUCUGUAACAGCACUUGUAAUUCCACUUUUUCGAUAAAUAUAAAUAGUUGAGCUCAUUCAGCCGAGCUUGCUUUUGGGUCAAUUAUGAAUAAUUGAGGACGAACCCAGUUGAGCCAAUCCCUUCUCAAUUGAGUCGCUUGGUUUGCUAGUGGCACAUUUGAGAGUCAUCCUACGAGCCGACUCGCAUCCUAAAGAAGAACUUUCAAAGUCUUGAUCCGAUCAGCGUCACCCUCCAUUCUGUUUCUAGCCUAGCACCUCCAAAUAAAUUUUUUUUUCCCUCAACACUUUGCUCUCUCUUUAAUUCAGUUGGUUGAUAGAGGGACAUAAUUAAUUUCUUGCCAAAAGACUAAUCUGAUUAGUCAGAUAGACAACUCCGUCAAUUCUCAUUAAUUUUCUUGCCAAAAGACUAAUCUGAUUAGUCAGAUAGGCAUGCAACUCUGUCAAUUCCCGUUAAAGAUAAUUGACAGAAGAGGAUAACAUGAAUGACUUGCUCAAGUUGGGAGUUUGCAAUAUUCAUUCCUCCCAAAAGUUUAAAAGAUAACAUUUACAAUUUACCCUCCUAGUUUAGUACAAUUUUAAGCGCUUGAACCAAUUGGACUAGUGAAAUAUAAGCAGCUAGCCAUCAAUGAAAGGAGAAGCGGGCAAGAAAAGGAGAUGCGCUCUGUCCCAUAGUGGCUAGAAGAUUCUAGAUUAGAUCAGAUUGAUAAUAACAUAUGCAUGCAUGAAAAUGAAAAUGAAAAUGAAAAUGGCACAGUGCAGCCCAUUUCCAACAGUGGUUGCCGUGUGCGCAUUUGCAACCAAUUGCGCCCUUUGAGGUCGCCAUCAUCGGUAAACUCAUUCGCACAGCAACGUUACAUUUGUAUGUACGGGACUGAGGACAACGGACAACCACCCAACCUUUGCUGGCUCCUUGUGGCCCAAUCACUGUUCAAUUCAUGUUCUUUCCUUUCAGUUUUUCUUUGGUUCUUGCAUGGAGUGCUAGAUAUUUCUCCCACUCCCCAACUCUUUUGGACUUUCCCCUCUCGUGGAUAAAUUAGGGUCAAAGAAAUUUCAUUAGUUUCUGAACUUAAUAUUCUCUGUAGAUUACAUCCAAUUAGCUAAUUUCGCUACCUGUCGUUAUCUCUGUUGACGAAAAAUGAAAAAAAUCUAAAUGCAAAAUAAAUACAUUUGUGCCGAAGUGGCACUGCUUGAGAAAGCGAACGCAUUUCAUCUGCUUCCCUUAACAAUAGUGACCCUUACUGACCGACCCUAGCGCAAGUGACGAAAGGACUUGAUGGUUGGUAUUCGAGACCUAAGUUCGAAUCCUAAUUGAUUCACAUUUUCAGCUUAGUUUAUUUCUAAAUAAAAUAAACGAAGCGGGUAUCCUGCUACCUUUCUCUCUCUCAAAAAAAAAAAAAAAAAAAAAAAAAAAAAAAAACAAUAGUGACCCUUUUUGAGGUGGAAUGGGAUUCGUUUAAUGCCACGUUUCCGGCCUGAAAAGAGACCCCGACAUGAAGUCGCAUCAUUCUUUUUUUAAUUUUUUUUGGAUAAAUUUUAUUUUGCUCCUGCCGUAGAAUAGCAUAUCUUUACUUUAUUAUUUCGUGCUUCAAAAUAUCAUACUUAACUACUAUGUUGUAUAGUGUAUUUUUAUUUUACCACUCCACGAGCCUAUGGUAUAAAAAGUUAUACAUAACCAUUCAAUAGUUUUACUUUAUUUUACUAUAAAAUAUUUACUGUUCAAAAUAAAGAUUUAUGUAACCUGGCACAGAGUUGUGCCGAAAAUUUACCGGCAUAAAGUUGUGCCGACAUAGUAUAUGCCGGACCAUACUGAUACGUAACUGUCACAAAAAAUAUCCAUCCUAUACGGACACAUAAUAGUAUGAAAUAUUUAUGUUUUUAACAACAAAAUAUAUUAAUUGUUUAUUAUGUAUUUUUAUCAGAUAUUUUGAAUUUUAUUGAGAAAAUUACAUAAUAAUGUAAAUAGUAGAGAAUUUUGAAUUGUGCAAUCAGCACGGAGGUUGUAUUAUAUUGAUAUUUUACUGGCACAAUACGGCAAAGUUUAUAUGCUCAUGCUAAUAAAUAUUUAAAAUCCUUGAUUAAAGAGUGUAUCACUUUAUAAUUUUAAAAAACAUUGUUUUACUAUUCUGUUUGAAGAUAGAUUUUUUUGUUGAAACAAAACUAAACGGGAUACUAGUUAAUAGGGCUGGCAAAUGAGCGAGCCGGCUCGCGUUCGACUCGAUAUUUGGCUCGCUCGAGCUCGACUCGAAAUUAAAUGAGCCGAGCUUGAGUAUUACUCGGCUCGUUCGAAUUAGACUUGAAAAGCUCGAAAGCUCGAAANUAUAUAUAUAUAUAUAUAUAUAUAUAUAUAUAUAUAUAUAUAUAUAUAUAUAUAUAUAUAUAUAUAGUAGAGCUACUAUGCUAUCAAAAGUAUAGAGGAUUUGGUGCUUUGGAUUUUUUGAUUCUUAGAUCAACCCCUUUAAUCAUUUUUUAUCUUUGGAUUAAUACUAUUAUUAUUUUGUAGAGACCACUCAAUCCUAGAGAUAUUAUUUAAUCCUAGGGGGGACCAUAAUCAUCCCAACCAUACAAUUCCUAAUCAAAGGUCAAAAAUUCGAAAACAUCAAAUAUUCUAUAUUUUCGAUAGCAUAGCAGUUCUACACUAUAUAUAUAUAUAUAUAUAUAUAUAUAUAUACCCAAAAAAAGGUAAACUUUCUGUAGAAGUUCAGAAAAAGAACCAUUUACCCAAAAAAUGGUAAAUUGCAGAAACAAUAGUCAGUACAUGUACAUAUAUUUAACUGGGAAUUGUAAACUUGCCAAAGGUAAAUUGCAGAAACAACCUCUUUCUUCGUUCAUGAUUAAAUAAAAAAGUAAUUAAUGAUUGGAAACAUAAAAGUUAGGACUCUACUACUAAUAAUUGAACUUAAGCAAUUUUAGAUCAAUAGUUGGAGUGUAACAAGUUAUUAAAUACUAGUGAGUUAAAUCUUUUAAAUUUGGUAUCAAAGCCCAAAUUAAAACAUAGGAACAGAUGAGAACGUCACAGUCUAAACAAGAAAAAUCUGUGGUGACCUGAUAGCCCAAAUAGCACCAAUAAUUUCAUAUUGGAUGAUAAAGUGAUUAUAAUUAGAAAUAUAAAGAUCACGCACUCUAAUACGAAUUAUCUUGGAGCUCGUUGUUCGGGCCCAGCAGCUUAUUACUGUUCUUAUGCUGGAUCGUUACAAAAAUGAAGGGAUAAAUUAUGGAUACAUCUUAACUUUCAGCUUUAUGAGAUUUAGUUCAUUAGCCAUUUUACUUAAAGUUUAAUUUGAUUUUAUUGCUUUUGUUCUCAGCUAUAAUAGUGUAUUACAACACUAUUAUAAACAAAGUUCGAAUCCUAGCACAAGUGUCAAAAGGUUUGAUGGUUGAUACCUGAGGUCCUAAUUUAUAAAAUAACAUGUAUUAAUUUUGAGAUACUUUGAUAAUGCUCCAUGUAAAAUAACAAGUUUAUUUAACAUAACAAUUUUCAUAUGCGAUAUAACACAUCAAUUCCUAGCCAAUAUGUCAAAAGUUGCAGGCACAGCCCAUAUGCUUAAACAAAAUUUGAUAGAGAAAUGCUACUUAAUUAUAUACACAAAAGUGAGAUGUAGGUAUUACAGGCAUGCAUUUGAGAGUUUAGCUGCUUAUUUUUAAUAUUAAAAAAAAUGAUAAGAGCUAACAUAAAAAUAUGAAUUUUGGAUGAGCCAAAUAUAAAGUUUGUACAUAUAUUUUGGGCAUGCAAGUAAUAUUACUUUUUCUUUUUUCGGGCUAAUUAUAAAAAGUCUCCUAACACUUCAGCUCUACUAUCAUUCACCCAAUUACUACAUUAAAAAUUUCAUCAACAAUUAUCACCUUAAAUGUUGUCACCAUCUUAAAACGAUCCAAAACUUUGAAAUAAUGACAAAUUAGGCUGUAAAAUUUUAUUAAAACUAGUUGGCAUAUCAUAUUAUUCUACAUCUCAACAUAUAUUUAAUUUGUAAUUCAAAAAAUAUAUUAUUGACAGUUUGGUAGUUGAUACCCGAGGUCCCAAGUUCGAAUCCUAGUUGAUUCAAAUUUCCAAAUAAGUUUAUUUCUAAUUGAAAUAAACGAAGUGGGUAGCGUGCUAUCUCUCUAAAAAAAAAAAAAACUCAAAAAACAUAUUAAAAAAAUUAGGUAAAGAAAAUUUUCUAUUUUAUUGAUAAAAUUGAUAGUUUAUUGAACAAUUUAUUCAAUUUAUAUGAUUAUAUUACAUUGCCUAAAGUUAACUUUAUUUGCAAAUUUAUUUUUAUAAAGUUUUAUAGCUGAAUUGAACAAUUAUUCUAAAUAAUUGGACCUACGUGAGAUAGUGACAAAAUAUAUGGAGCUAAAUAAUUGCAAGAGGGUAACUGAAAUAAGAGCUAAAGUGUAACGAGCUUUUUAUAAUUUAGCAUUUUUUUUUCCCUAUUCAAUAUGCGCUUUGAUGUUAUUCAAUAUGUACCUUGAUAUAGCUGAAGUUUUACAUAACAUUAUGUUUCAAAAACUAACUUAAAUUUUUUUUUUUUUGAUUAAACAGGGAUUCACCCUAUUAACUAACUUAAAUAUUUUGAUAUUGAUCAUAUGUCUGACACGAUCUAUAGUUCUACAAAAUUACCUAAUUGUUUCUAAGUCUCUAUAAAAUUAUUUCUCUCAUUUAUAUUAUGAUAAAAUUAUUUAAUUAAAUAUUAUAAAAAAAUUUAUAUAUGUAUCCAUAAAGAGAAUUUUUCAUUUUCUGUAAAUUAAAAACUGAUUCAAUACAAUUUCAAAAAAUAUUGUAGAAUAAAUGAUAAAAAUUUGUUGCUAUAAAUUUUUCGUGUAUGCGGCAUCGUGCGGGCCCUUUAUCGGGGAAAGCAUGAUAGGUGACAAUUCCUGAAUUUCUGGCAACUGAAGCAUAUCAAGAUACUGUAGAUAACUUUCUAAUCCAUUAUAUUAUAACAGUAUAAAAUAAACAAGAUAAAAAAUAUAUAAAAUUUAUCUGAAUUAUAAAUUACUUUAAUUUGACUAUUUAAUAUUUCAAACUUUUUAACUUUACUAUCUAAAUCUAAAUAAAUUUUUAAGUUUUACUAAGAUCCCCUCAACUUCACGGCAUUUUAAAACAACUCUCCCCUCGGAUUUUAAUUUCUAUCUGUUAAAUUGGGGACUUCAAUUUUUUCCAAUUUAGUUUGCCUAGGGGCUUCAUUUAAUUUAUCACCACUAUCAAUUAUUGGCUGUUAAUUCUCAUUUGCCAAAAAUUAGUUACAACUAUCAAAAUUUACACAAUCUCAGUUAAAUUUGGGAAGAACAAAAGAAAGAACAUCAAGAUCUCAAUCAAAGAAAAUAGGAAAAAAAAAAGUUCAGGCUUCAUUUUAUAAUAGCAAAUAGUUGAGGGGGGUCUCCAUGCAUCUUUCACCAACGAAGUUACUUGUACACAUCAGAUCUAACCGAUCGCGGUAACUAGUCAAUAAUUUAUUUCCCUCCAUUUCUAUACACACCCGAGUACCGAACCAUAUAUGCCAUUUACUAUUUAUUCCCUCUCCCUACAAAUCUAUGGGAGAACACCGCCAUAACCCUCUAUGGACAAAAUAAAAAUAAAAUUAUAUGGUAAUUACAAGAUGGCAUAAGUUGAGUGAGAUCCUUCCACGAAGGCCGAUUUGGAUUAAAGCCCGUCAUAGUAGCCACCAAAUGAGAUGUGAGCCCUUGUGAUGGGAGCUCCUCUCAUUGCUGAGAUUGCCUGGUUCAGCCUCGUGGCCUGCUGCACCGCCUGUUUAAUCCUCUGCAACCCGAAUUAAACAGUUUCAGAAGGCACAGUGUAAAUCGACAGCGGAUGCAUGACUAAGUUGGUAGAAAUUAAAAUGAAACUGCGGGAACCUUGUCUUCAGUGUAGAUCUGAAACUGGAUCUUCUGUUGCUGGUGCUGGUGCUGGUGCUGCUGCAUCUGCUGGUGCUUGUGCUGGUGCUUGUGCUUGCCGCCCAAUAUAAAGACACAGAUGGUUGCAGCAGCAGCCACUCCAAUCGAGCAGAGUGCUCCGAUCCCAUUCACUCUCCACCUCCACACAGUGAAUCCGAUUCCCUCCAGCAACUGGUUCCCUUUUUUGUCUUCGGAACACAUGUUGUUGUCGCCAUCCUCCUCCUCUUCUUCUUUAAUUAGUUCCGCCGAAUUCUUCUUCGACGCCUUAUCCUCGGCGACCUCCGUAGAACUGUAAGGCCCUUCCUCCUCAUCAAACAAGAUCGGAUCAGGCUCGACGUGAGGCACGAUCAGCUUGGCGCCGGCCAUGGGGGAGCCCAUCUUCAUGUCGACGAAUUCGGCGUCCCUGGUCUUCUUGAAGAAGAAGACGACCUGGGAGACCGGAUCUUGGUCCGGUAAGACCACCACCGGAAUAUCCUUGAUGAACUCCUUGCCAGGAGGUCCAUCGCCGCCGCCACCGCCACCAGCAUCACCAUCAGCAUCACCAUCUCCAUCAUCUUGGUGGGUCUCCACAUGGGCCGGGUGAGGGGGGAUUGGAGGAGUGGGGUGAGAUGGGCAGAUGAAGUAAUCCAUGUUGAUGAUCCCCUUGGGAUCAAAGAAGAUCUUCUGGGACAAGUCCCUACCAUCAUGGCCAAAGUCCAGGAACUCCCACUCCUCAAGGCUCAUCAGCUCCUUGGAAGAAGCCUUUUCCAUUAUUGGAAGUUGGAAGAGGGGGCCGGGAAACAAAACAAAUUAAAAAUUAGUGAGGGGAGGGGGGGGAGCGGAGGGGAGGGGAGGUGAUCAAUGUGUUUGAGAGUUAAAAUUUAUUUAUAAUAAUAAAAAGUGUAUGAAGGAAGGAUGUGUGGAAUAAUAAUUGGUGAGGCGAUCAAAUGAAAUUAAGAAGGGGGCGUGGGGCUGUUUUCAGUCUUCGAGUGAUAUUUCUGGGAAGGGUAAAAAGGAAGGAGAGAGGGGAGGGGAGGGGAGGGGAGGAGGGGGUGUUGAAUGUUGUUGAUUUGAUUGCGGGCUUAUCCUUCCAGAACAAGUGACGAAUGAGGAGAGGUCCGCUGGAGCCCACCCACCGGUUUAGACUAUAUCAUUUUUUUAAAAAAAAAUUUAAGGAUGAAUUGGCAUUCAAGGAACCCUGGAGUUCAAUUUUCCAGUAGUUUUAGUUAUAAUAAUAAUAGUUUAGCGGGUGUUUGGCCUAGCUAUUCAAAAAUGAUUCUGAGCCCAAAAUUAUUUUUGAGCUCAGUAGAGUGUUUGGGAAUGAUAUUCUGAAAAUCUGAUUCUACCUUUUAGAAUUUGAAAACUGAUUUUGAAAACUCCAGAAUCAGAAGUAGAAAAAAAAGCUGAUCAAAUUAAUAUAAAGUUCAAAUCGAAUCAAAUUAGGAUUUGAUUGAUCUAACCAAUUAAGAAAAAGAUAAAUUUAAAUCUAGAUUUAUACUUAUCCUUAAUUGUCAUCAUAUUAGGAAUAUAUUCCUAUAUAUAAUAUAGGAGAGUUUUUGGAAAAUCCUAGCCGUCAUCUCUCUUCUCCUCUCUCUUCCAUAUUCUAGCAAGAAAGACGUCCUUUGCAAGGGAGCUAGCACCCCGGUAAGGACAUCGAUCAAAUCAUCAACCUCGUGUGGAUACCUAUAGAGGCCGGAUACGUGUGCGGCUUGAAGAGAACCCGAUUCUACGAUCAUCAAAAUUGAGGUGAAGAUCUAUCCGCGAAAAACGUAAAUAUUCGAUCUUGCUUUUCUCCUUUAAUGUUAAAGAAGAUGAGGGAUCCUAAUUGCGUGGUUUUUGAGAUUGGAUCUCGAGAGUUUUUAAAAAUCAAAUUUGUUUGAUUUUCUAUUCCGCUGCGUUUUAUCAUACGCAAUUUUCUAACAGUUCUCCAAAACUAAUUCUGAUUUUGAACUCAAACUUCUAUUUUUAUUUUUAUUUUCGAUUCAAAGUAUAAAUUUAACAUUAAUUUAAAUUUUGAAAUUUUAAAUUCAUAUUUGAAUUUUUAAAUUUCAAUUUUUCAAAUUUAAAAUUUAAAAUUUACAUUUAAAAUUUUAAAUUUAAGUUUCAAAUCUCAAAUUUUUAAAUUUUAAAAUUCAAAUUUUAAAUUUCAAAAUUUUAAAUUUAAAAUUUGAAAUUUCAAAUUUUAAAUUUCAAAUUUCAAAUUUCAAAUUUAAAAUUUCAAAUUUCAAAUUUUAAAUUUUAAUUUCAAAUUUUAAAUUUUAAUUUCAAAAUUUUAAAUUUUAAUUUUACUUUUAAAUUUCAAAAUUUAAAAUUCAAAUUUUAAAUUUUAAAUUUUAAAUUUUGAAUUUUGAAUUUCAAAUUUGAAAUUUCAAAAUUCAAAAUUUUAAUUUUAAUUUCAAAUUUCAAAUUUCAAUAUUUUAAAUUUUAAAUUUUAAUUUUAAUUUUAAUUUUAAUUUCAAAAUUAAAUUUUGGAUUUUAAAUUUUAAAUUUAUUUUUUAAUUUGAAAUUUGAAAUUUUAAAUUUUAAAUUUUAAAUUUUAAAAUUUAAAUUUUAAAUUUGAAAAUUUUAAAUUUUAAAUUUGAAAAUUUAAAUUUUAUAUUUUAUAUUUGAAAAUUUUAAAUUUGAAAAUUUAAAUUUAGAUUUUAAAAUUCAGAUUUGAAAUUUAAAAUUUUCAAAUUUAAAAUUUAUUUUUGUACAAGUUUGAAACUUAAAAAUUAUACUUUUUAUUAAAUUUAAAUUUUUAAUUUAAAUUCAAAUUUUAAAUUAUUUUAAAAGUAAAAUUUAGUAAAAAUAUUAAUAUAUGCCAACAUCAAAAUUUUUUUGCCAAACAACUUUAGAAAAUCACUUUAGAAAAAUCACUUUUUUCUAAAUUCAACCAAACGCUCUACAGCUUUUCACCAAAAUCGAUUCUUCAAACUAAAAUCACUUUUACAGAAAUCAUUUCUCCAGAAGCUAAGCCAAACAGGCCCUUAGUCUUUGAGGUUUGUUCUCAAUAGUAAUUUGCCGUAUGCUUUUUUUUUCUUCAAAAUUGUUUUGUGUCAAACUUGUGUAAAAAUAGAAGUCUUGCGAACCAAAUUAAAAUUGUGGUCAAAUUCGAUAAUAAAAGUGAGAAAACUAGAAUUAGUCUAACAAGAAAAAAUGAAAUUUUGAGGAUACAAAAAUUGUUGUAGUUGAAAAUUCGAGGGAGGCUGUUUUAAAGACCAAAUUAUAUAAGCAAACUAAAUUCAAAAAAGUCACUAUAACACGUUUUGUUUAUGAAAAAAAGAAAAACUUAUUUAUAAUUGUUGGUAAAAAUAGACCGAACAUAGUUACUGUAAAAUAUCAUACUUACAGUAGUCUCACUAGCUCUAACAGAAGAACUUGUCAUAUCGUCGUACUCGUCUCACAGCCUCCUAAAUCUGCAAUGGCCUUUUGAAUCUUCGAUCGAAUGUCGCUUGAUAGAAUCUUCAAAAUCACCUAUCCUCCAAAACUAGGGGAACGUAGAUGAAAAUCUCAAGGAGAUAAUAGAACGUACAAAAUCGAAGAGAGAAGUUAGUAUUUAUAAAGAGUCCGACUGGAAUACUAUCGAUAGCACCAGCACUUUGUGCUACCGAGUUUUUCGCCAUUAGAUUAACCUUUUGAUUAAUUUCACCCGUUAGAUUAUACUAUUCAACCAAUAACUCACUCAAUCCUAGAGGGCCCACAUCAUCCUAACCGUACAUUUCUUAAUCCAAGGGCCGAAAUCCUAAUAGCACCAACAGCUUGGUGCUGUUGAUAGCAUUCCAGCCUAAUUCAUUUAUAAAUAUCCUUUUUGAGAUAAUCAUAAAAAUAUCUGUUAAGAUAUUAGAAGAUGCGUUUUUUAACUAACAUGAAAUAAAAUGAAUAAUAAUUCAUAUCUCAUGUAGAUAAGGAUAAAACAGAGCCGACUAAUAAUAGUUUAGUCUUUGAAGUUUGUUCUCAACAGUAAUUUGCCGUAUGCUUUUCUGCUCUUCAAAAUUGUUUUGUGUCAAACUGUAAAAAUAGAAGUCUUGCGAACGAAAUUAAAACUGUGGUCAAAUUCGACAAUAAAAAUGAGAAAUUAAACUAGAAUUAGUCUUACAAGAAAGAAUUAAUUUUUGAGGAUACAAAAAUUAUUGUAGUUGGAAAUUCGAUGGAGGCUGCUUUAAAGACCAAAUUAUAUAAGCAAACUAAAUUCAAAAAAGUCACUAUAACACGUUUUGUUUAUGAAAAAAAGAAAAACUUAUUUAUAAUUGUUGGCAAAAAUAGACCGAAUAUAGUUACUGUAAAAUAUCAUACUUACAGUAGCCUCAGUAGCUCUAACAGAAGAACUAUUGUCAUAUCGUCGUACUCGUCUCACAGCCUCCUAAAUCUGCAAUGGCCUUCUGAAUUUUCGAUCGAACGUCGCUUGAUAGAAUCUCCACAAUCACCUAUCCUCCAAAACUAGGGGAACGUAGAUGAAAAUCUCAAGGAGAUAAUAGAACAUACAAAAUCGAAGAGAGAAGUUACUAUUUAUAAAGAGUCAAGUUGGAAUACUAUCGAUAGUACCAAGCACUUUGUGCUACCGAGUUUUCCGCCAUUAGAUUAACCUUUUGAUUAAUUUCACCCGUUAGAUUAUAUUAUUCAACCAAUAACUCACUCAACCCUAGAGGGCUCACAUCAUCCUAACCGUACAUUUCUUCAUCCAAGGGCUAAAAACCUAAUAGCACCAACAGAUUGGUGCUGUUGAUAGAUUUCCAGCCUAAUUCAUUUAUAAAUAUCCUUUUUAAGAUAAUCAUAAAAAUAUCUGUUAAGAUAUUAGAAGAUGCGUUUUUUAACUAACAAGAAAUAAAAUGAAUAAUAAUUCAUAUCUCAUGUGGAUAAGGAUAAAACAGAAUCGACUAAUAAUAGUUUAGUCUUUGAAGUUUGUUCUCAACAGUAAUUUGCCAUGUGCCUUUCUGCUCUUCAAAAUCGUUUUGUGUCAAACUGUAAAAAUAGAAGUCUUGCGAACCAAAUUAAAACUGUGGUCAAAUUCAACAAUUAAAGUGAGAAAACUAUAACUCUUAUAAGAAAGAAUGAAUUUUUGUGAAAGCGAGUUCCCGUUGAGGAUACAAAAAUUGUUGUAGUUGAAAAUUCGAGGGCUGUUUUAAAGACCAAAUUAUAUAAGCAAACUAAAUUCAAAAAAGUCACUGUAACGCAUUUUUUUAUGGAAAAAGAAAAAUUUAUUUAUAAUUGUUGGCAAAAAUAGACCGAACAUAGUUACUACAGAAUGUCAUACUUACAGUAGUCUCAGUAGUCUCAGUAGUUCUAACAGAAGAAUUCGUCAUAUCGUCAUACUUGCCUAACAGCCUCCUAAAUCUACAACAGCCUUCUGAAUCUUCGAUCAAAUGUCGCUUGAUCGUCGUAGAAGGUUAUAUACUUGAAUCUCCACAAUCAUCUAUCCUCCAAAACUAAGGAAACGUAGAUGAAAAUCUCAAGGAGAUAAUAGAACGUGUAAAAUCGAAGAGAGAAGUUAGUAUUUAUAAAUAUCCUUUUCGAGAUAAUCAUAAAAAUAUCUAUUAAGAUAUUAGAAGAUGCGUUUUUUAACUAAUAAAAAAUAUAAUAAAUAAUAAUUCAUAUUUCAUGUGGAUAAGGAUAAAACAGAACUGACUAAUACGAACAUACCGCAUGACAACAAAAAUAAAAUUAGUUUGGGGCUGUUUUUUUCAGACUAAUUAUUAUGGGGCAAUAUGGUGCACGUACCUGACCGGAAUAUUCAAGCAGUGGCGCAACUCCUAAAAACCACCCAAGUGUACGUAUGAUCUGUUUAUUAAUGAGUACACAAGAGGAAACCUAAUUAAUGACAUGCACCUAGACGUUGAGGAUCGACGUGUUAACUUCGAUCAGCUCACCUUCUUAUUUUAAUUACAAUUUUGAGUGCUUUUGUUGGUUAAAUAUUAAAUAAAAGCUUACUAUCAUCACCGCCUGAAUUGUUGGGUUGGGUUCGCAAUCCGGGAAAGCAAGGAAAGACGGAUUUGCUUCCAACCAGAAUUUACAUAGAAUUGUAUAUUCCUGCUUCCGCCAAAAGUGCUUUCUUCGGCGGAGGAGAGCAUUUCGGUGGUUGCGUGUGUCCCGGCUCGGAGGAAUCAGGUGUGAUGGAGAUGGGUAUGUGAAGAAAAAGGGUUAAAAAUUAGUGGGUUUAUAAUAUAAUAUAAUAUAAUAUAAUAUAAUAAUAUUAGAAGCCAUCUCGAGAGUGUGAAAUUAUAAUAAUCUCUGUUCCAGAGGCUAUAUUAAUUAGAGAAUAUGUGAUUGCUAGGGGAUAUUAGUUGAUUAAUGUAAUUUUUACUAUGCAUUACAUUAUUGUAAGCUGUUAAUCAUACCCAACAAGAUAUAUAGAAUCUGAUGGACGAAUGUGUAAGAGAUAAAUGACAUCUGAUUAGCGCUUAUUUUGGAUUAUCAUGAUAACCGAAAGUUCUAGACUUUUAGCUUGAUAACCAUCUAGCUUUUACUUUUAACGAAGUGAAGCUAUUCCGUAAACUAAGGCAAAAAUAUGAACAGACAAGACACUAAUAAGGACUGGUUUCCUAGAAAGGGCCACCUGAAGCCAUUAGACAAAAUGAAGAUGGGAUGAAAACAUAUGCAAAUAUUUUUCUACUGCAAUUCAUAAUCCAUUUUCAUACUUUUCGCUUAAAUGGUCAUAAUUUUGCACACAGUUUUCAGCUUGCAACCCAAGCCGUCCAGCAGUUUUCUUGUUCCGAGCUAGCUAGUUUCGGAUCUAAAUUCAAUAGCGUAUGCUCCUCAAUUUGCUCUAUUAUUUGAUUGGAAAGUUUGUGUUGUUCUUUCGUUAUUUUGAAUUAGGCCACAAUUUUGUAAUAUUCCUGAUUAGCUAGAAUUAGGAAUAAUUCCUGAUUGAUUACGUUAUUCCUUUCUAUAAAUUGAUCUUGUUUAUUUCUGUUACAAAUAUAACUUCUUAGAUAGACAGAAACUAGACUGUAUUUACAUUUGGAUGAGAAUUGAAUUAUUCUCACAAAUAAGAAAAAUAGUAUUUGAAUUGUUCGAUUCGAAUAGUUAGAAUAAAAGUAAUUAUUAUAAUUUUUUAAAAAAUAUUUUAUGUAGUUAAUUAAUAUCAAAAUAUCAAAUAAGUAAUAAUUUAAUAAAUUAAUAAAAUAAUUGAUUAUAAAAAUUGGUUGGUAUAUUAAUUAUAAAAAUAAUAAUUUGAUAAUUUAAUUAAACAUAACUUAAUAUAUUAAUUAAUUGUUUGUAAAAUACGUUAUUAUAAUAAUUAUGUUAAUAAUGGGGAUGGAGCGAGUUAUACUUUGGUUCUCAAACUUUAAUUUUUAGUAAUUUCUACCGACCGUCCCUAGAACAAAUGGCAAAGGGCUUGGUGGUUGGUACCCGAAUCCCAAGUUCGAAUCCUAGUUGAUUCACAUUUCCAGCUAAUUAAGUUUAUUUCUAAAUAAAAUAAACGAAGCGGGUAGCGUGCUACCUAUCUCUCAAAAAAAAAAAAAAUUUAGUAAUUUCUAACUUGAGCUUUUUAAAUUGCUGCAAUCAGUCCUACAAUUUAGUUGAUGAAAUACUAAUGUGUCGAUAAUAUAAAAGUGAUGUGGUAAUAUUAUGAUUGAUGCUGCAGUAAUGAUUAAGAUGGCGUCUCACUUUCACAUCUCCGACCCAUCAAUAUUUAGUAAAUUAAAUUAAGUUGUGGAGCAUGGUUGCUAUAAUUUAAAAAUUCGAGCAAAAAAUUAUUACGACUAAAGUGUCAUUUGCCUCACAGUUUGAGGGCCAAAAUUAAGUGUAAUUCUAAUUAGGAAAUGUGACAUGUUACAUCCCACCCUUCUAAUGGGUCGGAAGUCAAUUACUAGUUACAUCAAGUGAUUAGUAAAAGUAUCUCAUCUAUUGAAUCGAUGAGAUAUAAAAUAUACAUUCCGAUUGAAGUGUAUUUAUAUAUUGCUCAAAAUAAUUUUGAGCCCGUUAGAUUUAAAAUCCAUCAUCGUCAGAAGUCACGUGCGUAUCUAUAGAUAUAUAUAAUCUUGAGUUUUACAGUGGCCGACGUGGCCGCUUCUCAGCGCCCCCCUCUGCCGUUCCGUCUCGUGCGGGCGCGGGCGCGCGAGGGGCGCAAGCGGGCGCCGGGCGCGGGUCGCGGGCACGUGGGGGAGAGAGAGGGGGGGGGGGAGAGAGAGAGAGAGCUGUGGGGUGGGAGAGAGAGAGGGGGGAGAGAUGGAAGAGAGCGACAAAGCGAAAGCGGCGCCUCGCGGGCGAUCCCGCGACUCCCGCGCCCUGGUGGCGAGAGAGAGAGAUAGACUACUCGAGAGCUGGAUGAGGCUGACGUUGAGUGUGAGGAGAGAGGGGUCUGGGCGGGGGGAGAGGGACAGAGGGCGAGGAGAUGAGAGAGAGAGAGCGAGGGUUUGGGGGGGGCGGGGGGGGGGGGGGGUGCGGGGGUGGGGCGCGCUUGCCGAUCGUGGCGGCCGGACCCGCAUCCCCAGCGCCCGCCUGGCGAGAGAGAGGGGGCCCAGCUACCCCUGCGCGCCACGAGAGAGAAAGAGGGGAGGGGGAAAGAGAGAGAUCUCUCUCCCCUCCCUCUUUCUCUCCUCCCCACUCUUUCCUCUCUCUUCCCCCUCCCCUCUCCCCUCUUUCCCUUCUCUCGCCCCUCUUUUCCUCGUCCCUCCCUCUUUCUCCCCCCUCCCGGCCACUCUCUCUCUCUCCCCUCUCCCUGCAGUGAGUGAGCGGCGGCGCUUACUAGUGGCGCGGGCGCUUCGGGCGCGCGUGGGUGUGCGCGAAGGCGCAGCGCGGGCCCGCCGGAGCGGGCGACCCACUCCUCUCUCUCCUCUUCUUCCUUUUUUUUUUUUUUCUCUUUUCCUAUUUUUUUUUAUUAUUUUGUAUGGCUGUGGAUCAAAAAAAAUUUUUAAAAUUAAUUUAAAUUAAAAUUUAAAUUUAAUUUAAUCCGAAAAUUAAGGCUUAAUUUAUCCAGAUUACCUCUUGCAUAUACUUUUUUUUCCUUUCUCUCACUUUUAAAAUUUAUAUUUUCCUUUCAAAAUUUCAGUUAUACAUUGUCUCCCUCCUCAGAUUCUCUCAUUGUUUCUCUUUUUAUAAUUUAUACCGAAAAUAUCCUUAAAAUUGAUUUUAAAAAAUUCUUAUAAAACAAGAUAAUUUAGUCAUUUCACUUUCUUCAUUAAAGUUGCAAUCCUCUAAAAAUAUUUUUAAAAUUUUAAGGAUGAAAAAUAUAGAUUUUUGAAAGCUAUGAGGAAAAGUGAAAAAAGAAUAUUUACAGAGAUAGUUUUUGUUUUUAAGGUAAAUUAAAAUUUGAUUUUGAGCCUGUGUAAUAAUUUUUUUGUGGUGCGAGGAAGUUUAUAAUGUAACACUUACACCACCAAAUCAAUAAUCAGUCGAUCAUAUUUUUAUUUAUGAGAAAAGUAUAAUAAAAAUAUUUUUCUAAUAAUCAUGACAGAAUGCUUAGCUAAGAAUGUCAACGGUCAGAUUUGGGACGGAUUUUUAAAAAGCCGAUCCUGAAUCCAAUUUCGAAAUCCGAACUCGAUUCCGAACUCGAAUCCGAUGGAUUUUACAAAUCCAUAUCCAAAUCCGAACCCGAUCAAAACUCCGAAACCCGGCGCCAAAAAUCCUAACCCGCAAUAAUUAUCUUUUCUCAAUAUUUUAAAAUAUAUUACAUUAAAUUUAAAAUUUUAAAAUACGAAUACAAAUAUAAAAUCAAAUAUUUAUAGACAUAUUAUAUAUAAUAUAAAAUAAAUUCGGGUUCGAAUUAUGUUAAAUUAAAAUCUAUACACCAAUCCAAAUCUGUCAAAGUUUUAAAAUUUAAAAUUUACAACUUAAAAUUUAAAAUUGUAUAUUUUACCUUAAUUACUAAAACUAAAAUUUUACUGUAUUUUUAAUUCAAAUUUUGGAUGUUAACAGUUAAAAAAUUUGAAAAUUAAAAAUUUAAACUUAAAUUUAAAAAUUUAAAUGAUAACAACAGAAACAUAGAAAUAUAUUCUUGUAUACUUUUAUCUCAACUUUGGUAAAUAAUAUUGAAUGAUUUAUUCAAAAUAUUUUAAAAAAUACGUAAAUUUUCAGCCGCGAAGCGCGGGCCUUCAUUAGUAUUAUUAAAAUUUCGGUAACUUGGAACACUAGGAGACGAUUGAACGUUCAAAAAUAAUGAAGAACUUCACGUAAAAUAUUUUAUCAAAUCUUGUAUGGUUGGAUCUCCUUCGCGGAUUUUUUUUAAAAAAAAUUAAAUUAUGAGCGAUGCUUUAGGUAUAUUUUAAACCGUUUGAAUAUUUUUUAACCAAAAACUAGUCUUUGGAUUAAUUGAAAACAAAUGAAAGUUGUACAGGUGACCCUUCUGCCAAAGUAUUCGGACCUUUUGGGCUACUAUAUAUGUCUAUCGAAUUUUCUUUUCUGAGAAAAAGGUAGCACGCUACCCACCUCAUUCAUUAAACAAAUAAACUAAGCUAUAGGGGUGAGGUAUCCUAGGCCUCGAAAAGGGUGGUCAAAGCAUGCAAAAAAAGAAAAAAACAACUAAUUACACAAGUUAGUACUAAUGAUUAUCGAUUACCAACAUAGUGCCGAUUAGUAGAAAGAGAUUGCUCCCAAAGAUACGUCAGCUGUUUGAUCUUGUGAGCUGCAAGGAGGGGAUUCGGUUGGGAAUUCCUAAAAAUCACGCCCUUUCGGAUCUCCCAAAUUACCCACCAGCAGGCUACCAAUCCAGUUAACAAGGAACUCGUCGACUGUGUUCCACUCCUCGACAUGAACCCAUCCCAAACUGAGUUUACGUCCUCCCCCCGAUCACUGGGCUGGGCAUAAUCUGCGGUCGACAUCAAUAGAAAUCGCGAAAAGACGCAACACGUGAAUAAGUGAUCGACAGUUUUAUCCUUAACCCCGCACAACACGCAUGCUGUGUUGCCAGUCCAACCUCUUUUCAAAAGGUUAUCUGCAGUCAGAGCCCUCUUCUUAAGAACAAUCUAGCAAAAUACUUUCACUUUUAGGGAGACUCGCAUUCUCCACAUCAUGCUUUGUCGGGCAUCCCUAAUGCCCCCAUCGUUCAUCAUCGCAUAGGCUGAUUUGACCGUGAACCUCCCAUCGGAUGACCGACGCCAAUGAAUGCUAUCUGGUCUAUGCUCAAGCUUGAAAAUGGAGAUCUUUUCCUUCAAAGCUAAGUAACUAGUACUCGUACCAUGUCCACCACCUAAACGAAUCUUGCUCUAAUUCCAACCGUCCUGUGAAAGGCAGUCGCUAAUUUUUAGAUUUUUGAGAUGCGAAUCUUGCUCGUACCCUGUCUAUCGAAAUUUUUAAUUUUAAAAAUAGGCAGAUAAAAUUUUUAUUUAUAAAAUUAAGUUUAAACGGUAAAUGGUUUACAGUUUUGUAAAGCAGUAAAUAAUUCACUGUAUUUUGGAACGCACACUAGUACUAAUGAUUAUCGAUUACCAACAUAGUGCCGAUUAGUAGAAAGAGAUUGCUCCCAAAGAUACGUCAGCUGUUUGAUCUCGUGAGCUGCAAGGAGGGGAUUCGGUUGGGAAUUCCUAAAAAUCACGCCGUUUCGGAUCUCCCAAAUUACCCACCAGCAGGCUACCAACCCAGUUAACAAGGAACUCGUCGACUGUGUUCCACUCCUCGACAUGAACCCAUCCCAAACUGAGUUUACGUCCUCCCCCCGAUCACUGGGCUGGGCAUAAUCUGCGGUCGACAUCAAUAGAAAUCGCGAAAAGACGCAACACGUGAAUAAGUGAUCGACAGUUUUAUCCUUAACCCCGCACAACACGCAUGCUGUGUUGCCAGUCCAACCUCUUUUCAAAAGGUUAUCUGCAGUCAGAGCCCUCUUCUUAAGAACAAUCUAGCAAAAUACUUUCACUUUUAGGGAGACUCGCAUUCUCCACAUCAUGCUUUGUCGGGCAUCCCUAGUGCCCCCAUCGUUCAUCAUCGCAUAGGCUGAUUUGACCGUGAACCUCCCAUCGGAUGACCGACGCCAAUGAAUGCUAUCUGGUCUAUGCUCAAGCUUGAAAAUGGAGAUCUUUUCCUUCAAAGCUAAGUAACUAGUACUCGUACCAUGUCCACCACCUAAACGAAUCUUGCUCUAAUUCCAACCGUCCUGUGAAAGGCAGUCGCUAAUUUUUAGAUUUUUGAGAUGCGAAUCUUGCUCAUAUCCUGUCUAUCGAAAUUUUUAAUUUUAAAAAUAGGCAGAUAAAAUUUUUAUUUAUAAAAUUAAGUUUAAACGGUAAAUGGUUUACAGUUUUGUAAAGCAGUAAAUAAUUCACUGUAUUUAGGGAUGGAAACAAGCCGAGCUCGAGCCAGCUUACAUCAGCUCAAGCUUGACUUGAAAUUAAUUUCGAGCCUAAAGUUAGGCUCAAGCUUGGCUUGAAAUUAAUUUGAGCCGAGCUCGAACGAGCCUAACUUCGAGUCGAGCGAACUCGAGCCCUAAACGAGCCGCUUGAAAUUCUUAACAUCGUGCAAUCUAUAGUUUAAUUUUUAUAAAACAUUAUCUAAAAUUUGAUACAAAAAAUAUCUAAUAGUUCAAUACACAAAAUGAAUGCAUGAAAUACGAUAUUAUAAUAUUAAAAAAAUUAGGAAAAGUGACUCUGUGAGCGAGAGAGAGAGAGAGAGAGAGAGAGAGAGAGAGAGAGAGCAAUUAGAGUAGGAGUUUGUUGGUUUAGUUUUGUCCACCCAAUAAUCUAAAUUCUAUAUACAUAUAAUUAAAAUACAUAAUAUAUAUUAUUUAUAUAAUUAAAAUAUAUAUUACAUAUAAUGAUAUAUGGAGAGAGUUCGGUUACUAUACUGUUAUUAGUAUAGACCCCUUUAUACUCGUAAGUUUUCGAUCGUUAGAUCUAUACUUUUGACCAUUUCAAGCCGUAGAUCAUACUAUUCAACUAACUACCCAUUCAAUCCUAGGGGACCACUAUCAUCCUAAUUGCACAUUCAACGGCCGAAAAUUUAUGUGUAUAAAAGGGUCUAUACUCAUAAAAGUAUAAUAGCCCUAGCCUAUAUAUAUAUAGAAUUAGGCAACUAUACUAUUAAUAAUAUCAACUGCUUGUUAUUAGAUUUUCGGCUCUUGGAUGAAGGGAUGUGUGUGGUCAGGAUGACAGUAGCCCCCUAGGGUUGAGGAGGUGGCUAGUUGAAUAGUAUGAUCUAACGGAUGAAAAUGGCCAAAGGGGUAGAUCUAACGACAGAAAACUCGAUAGCAUCAAACACUUGGUACUAUCGAUAGUAUAGUAGCCGGACUCUAUAUAUAUAGAGGUAGAUCUAACGGCAGAAAACUCGAUAGUACAAAACAAUUGGUACUAUAGAUAAUAUAAUCGCCGGACUCUAUAUAGAGAGAGCGAUAGAGUUUAGCUACUAUAUUAUCGAUAGUACCAAAUGUUUAGUACUGUCGAAUUUUGUGCCAUUAGAUCUACACCUUUAACUAUUUCCAUCUGAUAUGGUGCCUACUAUUGCCAAUGGCGGUCUUGAGGAUAACAAAAUGAAACAUUCUUAUAUAUCGUCGAUUUGGAAGCUCUAUCAUCGAAAACAACUUAUGAGUACGAGGGCGAUCGUACUCAUAAGAAUAUAGCAGCUGGACUAUAUAUAUAUAUAUAUAUAGGGAUAAUUGUCUAUAUACCCCUCACACGUUUGAAAAUAUCCGAUUUACCCCUAUUUUUUUUUCUUUCUAAAAUACCCCUCAUAUGUUCCACCGUUAUUACAAAAUACCCCGGCCGUUAUCUCAUGUUAAGUUAAUUUGGGUUAAACAUGAGUUAAAUAUCUACCACAGUUAAAAAAAUUAAAAUGCCAAUUUUGCCCUCAACUUAAGGGCAAAUAAGAAAUGUUGGUGACGGUAGAGGGGUAUAUUGGAAAAGACCAAAAGUCAAAAUACUUUUUGUGCCCCUGACUUUAUGGGCAAAUAAGAAAGUCAGUGAUGGUGGAUGGGUAUAUUUGAAAGGGCAAAAUAGUAAUUUUACAGAGAUAACAGAGUUGAUUAACAUAUUUUAACUCUAGCCGUAUAUUAGAAAUAGGUUGGAACGUAGAAAUGGUAUUUUCAAUAUUGGCCUUCUAAGAGGGGUAAAUCGGAUAGUCGGAAACUUUUCAGGGGUAUAUAAGCAAUUGCCCCAUAUAUAUAUAUAUAUAUAUAUAUAUAUAUAUAUAUAUAGAGCUAGGCUACUAUACUAUUGAUAGCACGGAGCGCUCCGUGCUAUCAAGUUGUUUUCGAUGAUGUGACUUCCAAAUCGACGAUCGGCUCCGUUAGACUUGAUCUACACUAUUGAAAGUAUUUAGAAACUAAAUUUCAUAAUUUUUCAAUAUUAUUUACCUAUCAAACAAGUAGUCUAAAAUUGAACGGCUGAAAAUAAAAAUCUCAUAAAAAAUGAUGAUAAAAGAAUUAAAUUCAAAAUCAGAUAUACUGCAUCUUACUCCUAAAUAACGUGAAAAGAAUUUUUUAUAAAAUUUUCAUCGCAUUUCGGUUGUUUUAGCCACCCCGUUAACUUGCAAACCACACCAACAUUCGGCCCAUAUAAAAUUGUAAUUUGAGAUCAUUUUUUGAUGCCCUAUCAAAUGAUUCGAAAAAAUUUUGAAAUUAGUUCGCACAAUACCGCUUCAAUGUCGUACGAUCAAGUCUAAACGGAGCCGAAUCGUCGAUUCAGAAGCCCGCAUCAUUCGAAACAACUUGGUCAGCAGCCGGAGGCCUCCGGUGGCUACGACUAGCAUAUGGCCGGGCUCUAUAUACGUACUAUACUACACCUGACCUACCUAUCCUAUACUACGCUAUCAUACCCUAUACCCUACAUAGACCGUUGGAGCUAGAAUACUAUCUGAUACGGCAAACCGGGCUCUGUUGCCAACCGCCAUCGUUGUUUUCGAUGAUCAAGAGGGGCCUCCCAAAAUCGAGCCGAUCAGCACCGUUGAACAUGAUCUAUACCCACCUUGAGUGUUUACGAAAUCAAAUUUAAUUCUUUUCGAGGCAUCCCCCAUUCUGUUCCUAAUGAAUCAGAGGGUUUUCAGCAAUUUAAUAAUUUUAAUGGUACGACUAUAAGCGUGUUUUCCUCCCGUUUAACGCGCGUCAAAGAUAACCAAAUCAAUGAAUUUUUGUUAGAAAAUCUUUAAAUAAUCUAAACAAGAUCUAUAUCUUGAUCUUGAUAAUAAAAGCUCCUAUCAUCCCCAUUUUUCUUAAAAAAUACUUGCAUCUUUCAGGCCCCGUUCAUCUUUUGUGUGCCACUCCGAUGGAUAGAGAACAGAUGAUCAAAAUGUAUGAAAUUUGAUUUCUAAAUACUUCAAUUACGUACAGGAUCAUCCGUUCACCGUACUGGAUCGUCGAUUUGUAAGCUCUAUCAUCGACAAACGAGACCGUUUGCUAAGCCGAAUAGUCAUUUCUAGCUCCAACUCUAUAUAUAUUAUAUAUAAUAUACUUUAUAUAUAUAUACUAAUAUAAUAGUCGAUUUGUAAGCUCUAUCCAUCCCCGGAAAACCGAGACGCGUUUGCUACCCAAUAUGAUCUAGCCUCAAAAACUAUAUACCUACUAUACUAUACCGCUAACCUAUAUACUACCGAAUUAAGGCUACUAUACUAUCCUAUAGACUUGAGGGUCUGGUACUAUAGUAUUUGUUGUCGACUAGGGUAUUCAAUUAAACGAUCGCCACGCCGGUUAAAAUAUGAUGCUAGGGUAUAUGAAGUUCUUCAAGAAUAAAUUUUUAUUUUUUCGACCAUCAUUUAGCUUAGUAAGAUAAAACUUAUAGUCAAUAAUGCGACGGGUAGAAAUUGAAAUAAUCUUUCAAUUUGCGUAUAGGACUUUUAAAUUACAAUGAUCAAGAAGUUACGACCUUAUCUGAUAGUUUUAAAGUAUUUUUUAUCAACAAUUUGAAAAAAUCUUAGAUUCUUCUACACCGUUAAACUCCAAACUCGCCAUAGUAGCAAGUGAAAAUUGACAAUUUUGAAAUGUUUGAUCAUAAAGUAAACUAUGUCGAAAAAAUAUAAAAUUUUAUUUCAAAAAACUUUAAAUACUCUAGAUCAGUUUUAACGGUGUGGAUCGUUGAUUUGAAUACCCUAAGAUCGAAAACGAGACUAUAGUACCAGAGCCCCGGUACUAUAGAUAGUAUAGGAGACUAGCUCUAUAUAUAUAUAUAUAUGUAUAUAGAAUUAGGCUGGAAUACUAUUAAUAGUAAAACGCUCUUUUUGCUAUCAAGUUUUUAAUCCUUGGAUGAAAAAUUGUAGGUUCGGAAUGAUAUUAGUCGGUUAGAGUUGAGUGGUCCCCCUAGGGUUGAGUGGUCCCCACUGGGUUAUAGUAUUUAAUCCAAUGGUUAGAAAUAAUGAAAAUAGUUGAUUCAAAGGCUAAAAAACUGGUAGCAACAAUGGGAUUUUGCUACUAAUAGUAGCCUAGUCCAACUCAUGUAUAUAUAUGUAUAUAUAUGUAUAUAUGUAUAUAUGUAUAUAUAUAUGUAUCUAUGUAUAUAUAUGUAUAUAUAUGUAUAUAUGUAUAUAUGUAUACAUAUAUAUGUAUAUAUAUAUAUGUAUACAUAUAUAUGUAUAUAUAUGUAUACAUAUAUAUAUAGGCCAUGGCUACUAUACUAUUAUGAGUAUUGGAGCCCUCGUACUCAUAAGUUGUUUUCGAUGAUGGAGCUUCCGAAUCGACGAUCCACUCCGUUAAAUAUGAUCUAGAGUAUUUGAAACUUCUAGAAAAGAAAUUUCGUAAAUUUUCAAAAUCAUAAUAAAGUCCAUCAAGUGGGCAUAACAUGAACGGUCAAAAUCAAACGACGUCCUAAAAAAGGAUGAUCGGAUCCUUCAAUUCAGGAUCAGAGUUAUUGAUCUUUAUCUAUAUAGUGAAUAGAAUUUUCUAUAAAAAAUUCAACAAAUUCCGAUUCUUUUACACCGUUAAAUUAGCAAGUAUCCCAUGCCGGCCGUUAAAAAUUGUCAAAUUUGUGACCUCUUGCUCAUAAGGUAAAUGAUGUCGAAAAAUUAUAAAAUUUGGUUUCUAGAAGUUUUAAAUGCUGUAAAUAACGUUUAACGGUGUGGAUCGUCGAUUCGGAAGCUCUAUCAUCGAAAACAACUUAUGAGUACGAGGGCAAUCGUACUCAUAAUAGUAUAGUAGCCGGACCCUAUAUAUGUAUAUAUAUAUAUGUAUAUGUAUAUAUAUAUAUGUAUAUGUAUAUAUAUAUAUGUAUAUGUAUCUAUAUAUAUGUAUAUAUAUAUAGAGUGAGGCUACUAUGCUUCUGGAAGUACGGAGCCUUUCGUGCUUCUAGGUCGUUUUUGAUGUUGUGACUUUCGAAUCGUCGAUCGGCUCCGUUAAACUUGAUCUAGAGUAAUUGAAGUACUUAGAAAAUAAAAUUUAUAAUUUUUCGAUAUCAUUUGCCUAGUGAUCGAAGGGACUCAAAAUCAAUCAUUUUAAUGGCCGUGGUGAGCCGUUUGCAAGUUUAAUGGUAUAGAAAUAUCCAAAUAACGUGAAAUUUUGAUAGAAAAUUUUUUAUACUAUAUAAACAAGAUCAAUAUCUUUGAUCUAAAAUUUUAAUGUCAUAUUAUCACGUUUCGUAAGAUUUUUAUUUUCAGCCGUUAAUUUUGAGCCCCUUAGUUCACUAGGCAAAUUAUAUCGAAAAAUUGCAAAAUUUAUUUUCUAAGUACUUCAAAUACUCUAGAUCAAUUUUAACGGAGCCGAUCGAUGAUUCGAAAGUCGCAACAUCAAAAACGACCUAGAAGCACGGAAGGCUCCGUGCUUCCAGAAGCAUAGUAGCCUCACUCAUAUAUAUAUAUAUAUAUAUAUAUAUAUAUAUAUAUAUAUAUAGAGAUAUANNNNNNNUAUAUAAAAAUUUUUAAACCUACACUUUUUAUAUAUUUAAUGAACUUUUUCCCAUUUACCAGAUAGCAAAAAAUAUUAUGUCAAUCCCGACCGUUUAUUCGCUCGGCCGAGCACAAGUUGAGCGCAAGCCGAGCUAUAAGCCGAGCGAACUCGAGACGAGCUUAAUUAAAGUUCGACUCGAACUUGGAUUUAAAUCCGAGCUUUAAUUAAAGUUCGGCUCGAAUUCAUAAUGGCCCGAGCGAGCUUAAUCCGAGCUUUUCGAGUUAUAUAUAUAUAUAUAUAUAUAUAUAUAUAAGGCCGACCCUAUGAGAGCUAUCGUGAUUCCCCAACCACGAUAGCUCAAAAAGUGGCAAUCUAAAUUUAGAGACUAAUAAAAAUAGGCAGUCUAAUAUGAUAAGUUGGUUGGUUGGUGAGUCGGGAUCUCCCGGGUGUAGUAGGAUUGUCGUGUAAAUAGUUAGGUUUCCGCUAUUUUGAUUAUCGUGGUUAUCGAAACACGAUAACUAUCAUAAGGUCGGAUAUAUAUAUAUAUAUAUAUAUCGUCCCGAUGACACGAUAAUCCUCGUGUCGUCAGGAACACGAGAAUUGAAAGAUUGGUAGGUAGUUCAAACUACCCACCAAUCUUAAACUCUCCCUCCUCUAUAAACUCUCUUUAAAUUCCUUUUCUUUUUAACUCUGUGGGUUAAAGAGGGGUUAUAGAGGAGGUAGAGAGUAAGAUUGGGGGGUAGUUUGAACUACCCACCAAUCUUUCAAUCCUCGUGUUUCCGACGACACGAGGAUUAUCGUGUCAUCGGAACGAGAGAGAGAGAGAGAGAGAGAGAGAGAGAGAGAGAGAGAGAGAGAGAGAGAGAGAAGUAUUAAAUUUUAAAAAUAAUUUUAAUAUUAAAAAAUAGUGAGUAAUUUGUUCUAUUUAAAAAUUAGUAAUUCAUUCACUAUUGUCACACCCCGGAUUACUCGUUUCCACGGGCUCGCUAACAGACCCGCCGUAUACAUAGAUAUUUUCCCUGUAUACGAAGCGAAAAGUAAAAGUACCUGUAAUCAUACAAUACUACAGACAGUAGUAUAGAGCAGCUAGGAGAAAAGAAUAAAACAUGUAUAUAUAAACUGUGGUUCUAUACAUACAUAAGAUCCAAGAUACAAAAGCACUCGCACUGGCGAGAGUACAACAUCUGUAUGUACAAACCAAAACUACACUACCUGCAGCGGUCCUCCCCUAGCUCAGCAACUCGACUGGAAGGGCUCUAACUCGCGACGCUCUUGCCACGAUCAAAAUCAACGACAGCAGUAGCCGAAGACGAUGGCUCUAUAAAACAGUGGAAACAAACAGGGCGUGAGAACUACUGUAAAAAUAAGUCGUCCUCAAUGGGUACCACCCUCAAACUCAUCGGUCCACCCACUAAGUCUACAGGGAUAAGCAGGAAUAGUAAAGAAAGCUGGAAUAAAUCUACAGCUAUUUGCUACUAUACUAUCAUGCUCUAAAUUUAACCAUCUGUAAAACAGUGACAACUCCGACCCAAUCUCAAGUAAGGACUGUAAUCAUACCCGUCCCUUGGACUGUGAACACACCCGUCCCGCCCGGUCGCGACUAUACAGCUACCUCCACACUAGCCAGUCCGUGGAGAGCAAGUCCAACCUGCACGAACGACACCAACGCAAAUGCACUAAACCCGACUCCGGAGUGGCACUCGUGGGCGCUACCCAACCGAGUAUGCAAGCGUAUCUCUGUCGAGCUCAAUCAGGCUCUAACAAGCCAAAGAUAAGUAGCUAGGGUCAAAACAGGUCUAGAAACCGAACCCACGUGCCCUCGGCACAAUCUGAUACCAAAACAGAAAUCUGGAUCCACCGUCCACCCCGACGGCAUCCGACAACCUGGAACAGUCUAUACACUACUGUAAAAAAAAAAUUCGGCGUUCCAACACGGGCGUAAAUACAUUCUAAACUACCCCGGGUAUCCACCGUGCUGAAACAACGGUGAUACAAUCAAAUCACGGCUUCUAGAGCUAAAUCAGGUAGUAGAAUCUUAUGACGGGUCAAUAUGCGGAUUUUCUCCUAAGUCAAUUUCCAAGUCCAACAUAUAUAUUUUUCGAAUUAAGAAUCAUACUCCAAUUCAGAUUUCAUACAUUACUAAUCGAUGAAUUUGAGCUACAACAUGCUAUACCGAAGUCGAACUAUACAUGUUUACUUUACACAUGCUUAGGAGCAAAACCGAUAAGAAACCCAUGCACCUUAAUUGCUAAUCCCUGGCAGCAAGGAAGUCUCGAAGGUGCAAGAUCUCUCAGCUGAACCUCAUCUCAGCCAGCAACAAUCCACAAAUCCGAUCUAUGCACCAAAAUCCACUAAUUCUAUCAAUACAACUAUAAUAUCAGCACUUAAGCUUAAUUAACCCAACUCCAAUGUCAAAACUCACCUAAUAACCUCCAAUUCAGGUGAGGACUGUCCCAAAUUCAAUGGAGUAUACUGGAGAAUAAUUCACAGGUCCCAAAUUCUCCUGCUUCCAAAGAUAGCAUCAAGAAAAGCUCAAAAUCCACAAUUCUGUCCAAAUACAACAAAAGCAGAGUAACACUUGAGUUCGACAAAGCUAACCUCAACCAAAUUCUGUAAUUCAGGACUUCGUGGAUUUCUCUAGCAGUCUAGAAUCCAGCAAACCAAGUUUCAUCGCGAUCCGACCUUCCUAUGUCGCACACGAGCCAAAACACUAGAGGUCGUCGCUGAAGAACUACAGAAUCAGCACCUAUCAAGCUUGGAGUUGUGGAUCUUGAAGCAAUUUGAAAAAGUUUGAAGGAUUGAGAGAGGAAUUCUGAGUUCACUGUGAAGGAACUGUGAAAAGAGCUCACCAAGGUCCCUCUCCAUCUAUUUAUAGGGUGUUGGAAGGGUAGGAUAAGCCCCAAGAACAGCUGCUGCAAUCUAAUGUCCCUGCAGAAACGGGCAUUUCCGGGCGCCCGGACCCACAUUAUGGGCGCCCGACUCCUCUAGGCUACACAAAUCUUCCUCCUUGGACUCUACGCUCGCGAUGUGCUGCGCCCGUAUCCGGCUCCGGCGGACCUCACCAACCACCAGCCACGUGUCAGCGCAAACGAUACUCACGAGGUGAACAUUCGGACCCUCAUCCAGGCGCCCGAAACAUGGAUCCGAAUUGGCUUCCAGUUCUGCUCAGUUCUGCACUCAACUUCUGGGCGACCCAAAAUCUGUUCUGGGCGCCCGAAUCUGGCAAAACUCCAGUUUUGCUUAUUUGAGUGCGCCGAGUCCAUUUCUGCAUCCAUUUCGCACAGAAACGACUCCGAUUCAGUCCGACACUCUCCAGAUGUGUAGACCAGUCACUAACACUGAAGCCAAUCCUAUCUAAAACUCAGGAACACUACAACUAUAUAAGACUAAUUUUAUAAAUAUAUAUUUUUUAAAUUAUUUUUAUAAUUAUAAUAUUUUUUUAAACCUGUUAAUAAAAAAAUUUAGGAGAUUCCGCUUAGGUUGGACACGUGGAUAUCCAACCAGAGAAUCCCAAAGGCUUGUAUACAAAUGGCCUCUCACUCUAUAUAUAUAUAUAUACAUAUACACACGUAUCCCUAUUGCGGCGGAUCAAUUUAGUAAAAAUAAAUAAAAAAUAAAAAAACAAAAAAUAAAUAAAUAAUAAAAGAAGUCAAAGAGUAGAACAGAAUACAAAUAAAAGAAAAUGAAGAAGAAGAAGAAAAGGCAGCUGCUACAGUAAAAGUAUAAGAAUAAAAAUAUAAUAAUGAUAAAAAAAUAAAAAAUUAUAAAAUUAAUAAAUUAUAUUUAUAACAGUAGUAAAGUUGAGAAUUAAAUUGUCACAUGUCGAGCCAUAAAUUGCAACUAAUUAAAGUUUGAGAACUAAAGCAUUAUGUGCCUCAUAGUUUGAGCAAGCAAAUUUAACGCAUUAAAAUUCGAAAACUAAAGUAUCACGUGUCAUAUAGUUUGGGACCAAGUGCAUAAUUUACUGUGUGGGCUAAGAUUUUUGCGGUGCAGAUAAACCCUUUGUUGAAGAUUUUUUUUGUGUGUAAUUUAGUUAUAUAAGCACUCGUCAAGUUUCAGGAGAAAACGAGUUAGGAUUGAGAAGUUACGCGACCUGUACUAAUCACUUAAAGUGAUUAGUAACGUUUUUCGGAGAGGCCAAUCAGUGGAGAUGGUUUCUAGUGCAUAUUGGACUCUGUUCAUAGUGAUCCAAUAGCUCUCUUUCGAUGGUGUGACUAUCCUGGACCCAAUGGCACUGACGGAUUUGGGUUUUGACGUACGGUUUUCGAGAAAAGGGGUUUUAUUGGAUUUACACAUAUAUAUGUGUGGUUUUUGGAAAAUUGGAGAGGGGAUGGGUUUCGUCACAAAUCGGCAUUAUAUCGGAUGAAACAAAAUUGUAGAUUCGAUGCCCCAGUCGUGCUGAACGCGCUGGCAUGAUCUGAUCGAAAAUCCGACGGACAGAUCUCCGGGAAUCGUAUAAAGUUCGCCGAGGGGUCGAAAUUAGCAAAACGGAAAAUUUGCGAAAAGCCUUAUAUUUUAUGUACCGUUUUGCGCGAUUUCGAACGUCGAGGUGCGUAUGCACGAAACAUACACGCUAUGAGAGACUGGGCUAAAAAUACCCAGCUUCAGAGGACUUUUCUACAAAAACUGCACCUAAUAUAUAUAGGUGUUAGCGUUUCAUGCAUGAAACCCUAACCUUAAUUGUUUAGCUCCCUCCAGCUACACCCCCAGUAGCCUCCACCACCUCCCGGCACCUCACCACGCGCACCCCGGCCUUCGGCGAGCGUUCCUAGCUGCCAGAAAAGGGCGGCAUUGUCUCCCUCCACCAUCCAUUCCACCUUCUCGGCCAUAGACUCUAGGGAACCAACCACACGCGUCGGGGCCCCCUCACUCGGCCGUGGCCUUACCUCCGGCGCCGUCCCCACUGUCUGAACGUGCCGCCGUCACCGCCUGGGCGACCCGCGGUUAGCUGAGGUCUGCUCGGGCCGAGCCCAAGCUUUCUCGCGGGACGCGCGCCGCCACCGCCCUCCUGGGCUUCCGGCGACCCUCUCGCCGCCUGCGUAGCCGUUCCCGCGGGCCCCCUGCAGCUGCCAUAGCUCCCUGCGGCCACCUGGUGCAGUUUUGGGCCGAGCCGGGGUCAUCCUGACCCCCGCACGCCGCCGCCGCCCAUAGAGGGCCGCGCCGCCCUCCCUUGGCCUCCGACGUUCGGUCGGCGUCACCCCGGCGCUCCCCCGGCCGCCGUUGCUCCUCGAGCCCGAGCCGAGCCGCACCAGCUCGUGCCGCUCCACCGCGCCACCGGCCGCCUCCCACCGCCGACCAGCGUGUGCCCGGGCCUCUCCGACCGGCCGAAACCUACCCCUAUCGACGCGCCCGCAAUCCGGCUACUGCCGGCCAGCCCGUGCUCCCGCUGGUUUCGAUAAGCUUAAAUUAGUGUUUUCUGCGCACUGUUUCCGGUUCAGGUCGCUGUUCCGGUGAUCUGAGGGCACCCCGAUGCUUCCGAAAGUGACCACGACGAUCCCUGAUCCGUGCCGAUCAUCGUGCUCACCUCCUUUGGGGUCAGUAAAGCCCCGGUUUGCGUGCUAAGUACUGUUUAGGCACUGUGUGCGCUGUUCGCUGAAGUUCGCGUUGCUCCCGUUCUCUCCACAGUGGUUGGCCAUACUCCGAAUCAUGAGCACGGCCUCCGGUACAUCGAGACCUAUCAGCGGGUGUCUCGGCCAGGCUCGAAUGUCUUCGGUUUGCGCUGUCGGGCCGUAAAACCCCAAAAAUCACAUAAAAUGAUGUGUUUUAUGUAGUCGCGAGGGCUUAUUUACAAAUUUACAUUUUCGUGACUGCUGUGGGCAUUGUGUGCGGGUAGCGGGGGACCUCUGGACUGGUUGUCCAAGGCCCCAGGCCUUUUCGGAAAUUGGAUGUUGAUUUUCGGUGUAUUUUUCGGUGAAAUCCGCCCACGGAACACGAUUUCAAUUUGGAAUUCUUCCGACGAUUUCUCAUGGUAUAUUAUGUUGUCGCUGAGCCUUGUUGGCUGGUCACCCGCAUCAUUUCGAGGGUUCGGAAACGACGGGUGAGCGACAGUAGGUUUCGGUGUCGAAAUUGACACUUCCAGGAACCCGGAUCGGAACGAUUAUCCGACGAUAAUCGUUUUGAUGUGAGGAUAUGUUUAUGCUGCCAGGUCACACAAAUUACUGUGGUUAGUGGCAGUGGGUGACUCGUGGCGCGAGUCGGUGUGUUCCGGGGUAGUUCGUGGGUCCCGACGGAGUCCCGGUGCGAUUUUCGGGACUUCCGAUGAGUUACGGCAAUCGGUUUUAGAAAACCAAUUCCCGUGGGGUUUACUGGUGGGGAUUGUGUGUUAGUGGUUCGUAUUCGUGGGUUGGAUUCUAACCCGAUGGACCCUUCGUAGGUCUUGUUGACUUUCUUCCGCAGUCGGGAGACCAAUGCUACUUACGUACAGGUGGGUACUUCGACCCGAAGUCGAUACAGUGGUGCAUGCUCUGUGACAUCUUCUUCCCUAUUUUUCCUUUCAUUACCCGGCAUAUACAUGUUGAGCUUAGCACCUUUGUUAUCUAUUUAUUGCUCUACUUAGUUGUUUACACAUCUAGCAUCAUGAGUAGAAGUAGAGCAGAUUUAUGAUAACAUGUGAUAUCCGUGACCUAGUCGGUCUGUUCUUAUAUCUCGUACUGUGACCUAUUUGGUCGAUUCACUGCAUCUGUUAUUGUAAUCUACUUGGUCGGUUGGACUACUUGGUGACCUACACGGUCAGUAUACCCUGAGGGGUUGGAUUGUCGGCUAGUUGUCGAUGUUUGGCUAUUGAGCAUAUCAGCAUCGAUCGCUACUGCUCGUACGCAUUUCACGAACACCAGCGGUCAGAUCCAACGCAAGAAGGUAUUCUUUUUCGAAAAAGUGGUUGGAAAUGCCAACCCGUGAGCCCAAAAGUUUAUGUUGGGGUUAUAUAUUUUCAGACCCAAGAGCUUAUGCUGGGGUCAUUUACAGGUUAGAGCAAUUGUGGCACAUGCCUGAGGUGUGCGGACCAACAUGGCAGAUUUCUGAUUGGGUACUUUUGGACUAGUCGUCUAGUUGAUGCAGGCAUAUAGUAGCAGUAGUAAUUUAUAUAUAUGUCCCGUUUCUUUGUUUAACAUCGCUACUGUAUUACCGUUAUAUAUACCUUUGUUUAUCCUCCUUGACUGGUGAGUACCCCUCGCCCUCGUCGGCUUGCGGAGCCUACUGGGAGGGGAGACAUGUGUACAUGUUCUCACUCUCUACCUCCUUUCAGGUGACGUCGCGAAGUAUUUUGUGUUGGAAAAUUUCGUGAUUUGAGUCGGAGUCUUGAAGGGUUCGGUGCGUGAUUGGCGAAGAUCGAAGAAUCCAAAGUUCCGAGAACUCAGCAACAUCUCACUGCAUGUAUCACGAUACUAAGGUAAGUUUUUAAAUUAUGUUAUGGUGGUUCAUACUUAUUUAUGACAUUAGAAUCAUAUAAAUCAAUGAUAUGUGGAUUAGAAGUGAGUUUUGGUACUUGUAAAUUGAGUAUAACAAUAUUUGAUAUUGUGUACCAGUUCUAGAUUUCAGUUCCUCAAAACCGUAUUUGAAAUUCAGUUUUCAACACUGAGUACCGGUACCUCAUAUUGGUACGUCAAACCCCAGAGAACCCGAGAGAUACAAUUCUGGAAAUUGCAUUGAGUAUCGGUACUGCAUUGGCCGGGUACCAGUAUUGCGGUACUAAAUCGGCGCGUACCGGUACUGCAUUAGCCUGAUACUGGUACUCAGCCUCAGGAAUUUUCUGUUCCGUCAUGGUGUACCGGUACUCAAUGUAAAAUUCCUUAUAUAGCUUCUAAUCCGACUCUAAUUCAUUCUAAAGUCUAUAAAUAAGCUAUUGGGGUUCUCUAAUUCAGAGAGAAGCACGAGAUUACAUGGGAGAGUAACCCUAGAGGCUAGGUUUUCGUUCUAAACCUAUUUUCACAAAUUAGCCUUUUUUAGUUCAAUUCGAGGUAUUGAAUUCAAUAUCUAUAUGUCGAAUUGAUCUAAGCUUUGCGGAGAGUUCUUAUUCCUGGUUCUUCAACGACUCUCUAAGCAAAGAAUCACCAUAAACAUGAUAUUCUUCAUGUGCGGCGUCGUGGAUUCGGCAUGAUCGAAGGCGGUUCGAGGAUUCGAAUCGUGAGCUCGUGGAUUCGAGUGGCGUUCGUGGAUUCGGACAUGUGCGUGGCAUUCGUGGAUUUGAACGUGAGGGCGUGGACAAUCCAGAGGCUUGCGCGAGAUCCAUAGGAGGUUAAGAGAGGUCAAGUCCGUGGAGUCGGUAAUCACCUUGUAAUCUUUUCGCUUAGUGGAUUGUUUUUUCGCGUGUUGGUCCCGUGGGUUUUUCUCCAAAUUGGAGUUUCCCACGUAAUCUCGGUGUGCUAUUUUUAUUUUCCGCAUUUAUUUUUUAUUGCAUUGAGAUUUGCGAAUUUGGGCCAUAUAUCUAUUCAACCCCUCUCUAGGUGUAAUAUUAUCUAGAAAGAUCCUAGGGUUUCUGUAACCUACAAUUGGUAUUAGAGAGGGAUCUAGUUUUUUAACUAUCACAAUGGCCAAGGGCGGUAACAUUAAUCGACCACCACUCUUCGAUGGCACAACUAUGCUUAUCAGAAAGUUCGUAUGAGAGCUUUUCUUAUUGCCAUUGACGAGCGGGUAUGGCAAUCAAUUGAAUUCGGAUGGAACCAUCCCACCGAAGUCGUCGAUAAUGCUACCAUCCCUAAACCUAGAAAUAAAUGGACGAAAGACGAAAAUAAGUCAUCUUCGUUCAAUGGAAAGGGAAUAAAUGCUUUAUUUAAUGCAUUGUCACAAACAAAAUUUUCUCGUGUUCGGCAUGUGAAAACGCUAAAGAGAUUUGGAAUACUCUAUCACACCGUUUGGCAAUGGUACAACAUAGGGUAUAAGGGGGUUAUACCCCAUCUUGUACCCAAACAAUAAUUUUGCUAGGUGGGAACUGCUGUUCCCACCUUAGCGGGUUAUCCCUGGGAUAACCCGCUAAGGUGGGAAUAACCCGCUAAGGUGGGAACAGCAGUUCCCACCCCGGGUUGGAACAAGCUGUUCCAACCCUUGUUCUCGCUCUGGUACUGAGGGCAUCUUGGGAAACCUACUCAUCACGAUCCUCUUCGUCCUUCCUUCUUCAACGCCUCCCCCAUCCCAUGUCUCCUUCCUCUUCCUCUUCUCCCCUAUCCUCCAAACCCACCAUUUUCGCCGCCUCCCCCAUCUUCGAAAACCUCCUUCUUCGCCGCCGGGGUCCGCUAAACCUCUUCGCGACUCAUCCCGAUCUCGUACGGUCUGAGGGUUAUGGUUGGUCGAGCCCAACCCUAGAUCUAAGGAAAUCUUUCCGCCGCCUCAUCCCGAUCUUGUACCGAGGGCAUCGAAGGAAGCCCCCAUGCCCCCUCGUGUCUUUCGUCUUCGCCGCCGCCACCUCAUCUCGAUCUUCUACCGAGGGCAUCGAAGGAAACCCUAGAUCUAGAUCUGAGGAUCUUUUGUCGCCGCCGCCUCAUCCCGAAGCUUCCUUCAACCCACGGUAAGCAACGUGCCGUCGUCGUCGCGUCCUUCUUCAUUCCGCCUCAUUCUUGUUCUUCUUUGUGCUUCCUUCAACCGACGGUAAGCUCGGUGAAAUUUUGCUUUGAAUGAUCCUCACCUGUGUGAUUUAUCAUGUGCUCUGUGCUUCUCUGUUAGGGCUGGCAAACGAGCGAGCCGGCUCGCGUUCGGCUCGUGUUCGGCUCGAUAUUCGGCUCGCUCGAGCUCGACUCGAAAUUAAAUGAGCCGAGCUUGAACAAAAUAAAAGGCUCGAAAUUCAUUUCAAGCCGAGCUUGAGUAUUACUCGGCUCGUUCGAAUUAGGCUCGAAAAGCUCGAAAGCUCGAAAUAUAUAUAUAUAUAUAUAUAUUAUAUAUAUAUAAUAUAUAUUAUAUAUAUGAUAAAGAAGAGAGAGAGAGAGAGAAGAGAGAGAGAGAGAGAGGAGAAGUUGAGAGCUAAUCAGUAGCAAACGGGCUCCGUUUGCACCCAUUUGUUUUCGAUGAUGGAGCCCACAAUCGACGAUCGGCACCGUUGAACAUGAUCUAUAUACUUGAAGUAUCUAGAAUUAAAUUUCAAAUAUUUUCGAUAUCAUUGACCUAAUGAUCAAAGGGUUCAAAAUUUGUAAUUUUAUAUGGUCGAUGUGGUGUUUUCUCGUUUAACGGUGUAAAACUAUCAAAUCAAGAUUGAAUUUUGGUUAAAAAUUCUUAAAUAUUUAGAACAAGAUCACAUCCUCGAUCUGAUUACAAAAUUCCUAUCAUCACUUUUCAGAGAUAUUCAUUUUCAGCCGUUCAUUUUUUACGCCACUUGAUGAGAGGGAAGAAGAAACAAUAUCGAAAAAUAUGAAAUUUGAUUUCUAGAUACUUCAGAUGGUAUAAUCAUUUCAACGGUACUGAUCAUCGAUUGGAGGCUCCAUCAUCGAAAACAAAUGGGUGGCAACGGAGCCGCGUUUGUACGAUAGUAUUCCAGCUCAACUCUAUAUUAUAUAAUGUAUUUUAAUUAUAUGUAGGCUUUAAUUUAAUUUGGGCUAUUAUUGUUGGCCCAUAAAAUAAACUCAACAAGUAAACCGUGCAAUUGAGCCAACUCUAAAUUUACAUACACAUCUCUCUCUUUCACUUUUACUAUUGCACAUAAUCCUAAAAACAUAAUAACAUUCAAAUUCCGCAAAUCCCCAAUUUUUUUCCGAUCUUCUCUCUCUCCAUCUCUCUCUCUCUCUCUCUCUGACCCUCACCUAGUCAGGCAGUCACCCUAGCUCACAUUUCUUACAAUUAUUUUGUAUUUUGAACUAUUGAACAUGUUGCAUCAAAUUAUAGGUAAUGUUCUAUAAAAAUUAAACUAUUGAUUAUAUAAUGUUGACAAUUUCAAUCAGCUCGUUUAGAGCUCGAGCUCGGCUCGACUCGAAAUUAGGCUCGCUCGAGCUCGGCUCGAAUUAAUUUCAAGCCGAGCUUGAGCCUAGAUUUAGGCUCGAAAUUAAUUUCAAGCCGAAUUUGAGCUGACAUAAGCUCGCUCGAGCUCGGCUCGUUUCCACCCCUAUUCUCUGUGCUUGUUUGUGAUUCUCUGUGCUUUCCUCUGCUUCCCUGUGCUUCAUGCAUGUUCGUAUGUAUUACUGCUGCCAUGUAGUCGAGAAACUAGCUAUUUACUAUGCAAUCUGUGGUCUGUAUUUUCUCUGUUCAUUGAAUUAGUGGCAAGCCCUAUGCUAGCUGUGAUUUGUGCCCCCCUGUGCUGGCUGUGCUUUGUGCGCUGUGCUGGCUGUGAUUUGUACCCCCCUGUGCUGGCUGUGCUUUGUGCCCCCUGUGCUGGCUGUGCUUUGUGCCCCUCUGUGCUGGCUGUGCUUUGUGCCCCCAUGUGCUGGCUGUGAUUUGUGGUUGCCGUCAUAAAAUUUUUCGACUCGAUGUAGGGGGCCUUAAUUUUGGCGCUGAUGAUGGUUUCCAUUUGUAUUUGAUGGAUGGUAUGGAUGUAAAAAUCUAUGCAACUCCAUACUUAUUGGAAGCCAAAUGAGCCACCAAUCCGUACAUAUGAGCAAAAUGGCCCAAUGAACAUACGAUGGAUUGGCGAUAUUGUUUAUGUCUAGCUGUGAGCAUCCAAAUUGAUUGGUACACUGAUGCGGCACCACUAAAUAGAUGGUUCGAAAAGUUGUUUGGGCAUUGUUUGUCUUGUGUUAUUGGUUAAUACUUUUUUAAAUUAUAAUUUGCUAUGAUUUGUUUUGUCUUCACACUGAACAUUAAUAUCAGUCUUCAUAUCAUGUUGAAAUGAAUACCUCGCUACUUGCUUAAUUUUUUUACUUAUAAAUGCUGUAGUUGUUCUUUCUUCUCAUAUGAUGUUUACAAUUAUAUCGUCAAACUAUGUAUAAGUACAGAUGCGUUCUAGCAAAAGACCCUCUUCUAAGUCCUUUUUAAACCAAACAAUGGGAUUGGACAAUUAUCCAAUCCCCAGUAGAGAUGGAGAAGGAAGUGGCAGGGUGCGCAAUCAAAUAUGGACCCGCACUACAAACUGGACUGAGCAAUUGGACUCCAUUCUGUUGAGUAUUAUGAUAGAUGAACAUACACUUGGAAACUACGUAAAUGGAGUUUCUCGCAAGUAGCGUGGGUUCGAAUCAUUUCAUCUUUCAACUCGAAAUCAAACUAGAACCUAUCGAAAAAUCAAAUAAAGAAUCGCCUCAAAGUUCUGAAGAGAUUGUACCUCACCUAUCACACUUUGGCAAAUAAGAGCGGUUCGGGGUGGGACUAUGUGAAUAAUAUUUCCACGGCCGGCGAUCCGAGUGAUUGGGACGCAGUCGUAGCGGUAAUGUUUUAGUAUGUUGUAUUAGAAUUCUUUUGAACUCUGUAUUAUUAUACAUAUAUAAUAUUAAUAAUCUUUGUUCCGGAGAUUUUGGCUUACGCGAAGUGUAGGGACAAACCUUUUCCGGCAUAUAAGGAUAUUGAAUUCCUUUCUUCAACAACUGCUGCCACGGGACGAUUUGGAAUGUCCUCGUAGAUGCCGGCAGCUACAAUUGAUAGCUCAUCCUCUUCUUAUCCUGGUGAGGAGGAUACUAUCAUGGGCGUUAGACAAAUAUCGUUAAAUUUCUUACCCCCUCGCUUUGAACCAGGUUCCUCAAACUCACCAAUGCCUGAAAAUGUACCCGGUAAUAAUAUUUCGCGUUCCCCUAGCCCUCCACUAGUGCAACCAAAUGUAGGAGGUAGUGCUAGUGGUUCAGGACAUAGCUCCGCUGGUAAAAGACCGCGCUCCCCGCAAGCCUCACUACCUCCAAAGAAACAACCAUCUUCUUCUGCCGGCCAAAAGAAAAAGAGUGACAUUCCCAACGAAGCAAUAGUUGAAUUGGUUGAAAUUGGAAAACAAAAGCUUGCUUUUGUCAAGCACAUGUAUCAACAAGAUUCUAGCAAUCAAGCUAAUAUUCCAUCAAUUGAAGAGUGUAUGGAGAGGGUUUAUAAUCUGCCUGGAAUAACAGAUGAGCAGGCUUUAGCUGCAGGAGAAGCUUUGCUGAAUGACAAACACCGACGAUUAUUUAUGACAAUGAAAGAUCGGCUUGCUAUUAGGUGGAUAGAGCGCCAAGUCGCGGUCCAAGACGUAUUAUAUAAGCAAAACUUUCCAGGUUUCUAGUAGACGUAUGUUAUAGUGUUGUGCUGUUUGUAUUUUAGAGUAGUUAGUUGUGUGUUGAGGCAUGUACGUUUUAAACUAGUAUGUUUGCUUACUCGUAUGAUUGUUUGGUUGUUUGUCUGUUUAAGAACAUUAUUUGCUUUCAUGUGACUUAUUUUAUGUUGAAUGUUUAGACUUCAUUUGCUUCAUGUUUCAUCUUGCUAAAAAUGUGAUAUCGACCGCUUUCGAUAUAAUGUAUGAUAUUAUCCUUGCAGCAGUGGUGGGUGAUAGAUUGUAUUGUUCAGUUUUUUCUUCGACGACAUUAGCAAAUAUUAUGUCAAUAUUAGAUGAUGAUGAUGACUACUGGGAUCAAGUAUGUGUUGCUAUUUGGUCAAGACUUUCUGACCUUUUCUAAUUCACUAUACAAACGCCCGUGUCGUACUCAACCCUUUACUGGACACCAAAUGGCAUGUGAUAUUUUGAAUGGCCAUCCAGACAGAGGGUACGACCAAUUUCGCAUGAUGACUACAUCUUUCGUUGCACUCCGUGAUGUGCUAUUGGCUCGGGACCUGAUAAGAGGAACACGAUGUAUGACCGCUGAUGAACAACUAGCAAUAUUUUUAUUUUGCGUAGGUCAUGGUGUGGCAAAUAGAGUACUUGCUGAAACAUUCCAACAUUUUGGGGAAACAAUUAGCAGACAUUUCAACAAUGUCUUGCAUGGUAUUGUAAUGUUGAAAGAUGAUUACCUUUCUUUGCCGCCAAAUAAUACAAUGGUGCAUACAAGAAUUCGAGAUAAUCUUAAUUUUCAUCCUUUCAAGGUUGAUUUUAAUACCAACAUGCAUGUUAAAUUCCCUUUGGUUGAUAUUUAUAUUUUAAUUUAUCAACUGUUUGUUGUGUUGUAGAAUGCAAUUGGCGCGAUAGACGGAACACACAUUCCUGUGAUUGUACCAAGGAGCGAUCAACCACGAUUUCGAUGUCGCAAAGGGUUCACAUCCCAAAAUAUGAUGGCUGCUGUCUCAUUUGACCAUACAUUUUUCUUCGUAUGCACAGGUUGGGAAGGAUGAGCAGCAGAUAUGCAUGUACUUCGAUGGGCUUGCGACACUGGAGGAUUUACAGUUCCAGAUGGUAAUUGUCUCGGUGUUCUUUCAUAUUAUGAAUAUUAGUUGUACAACCCCAAUGAUGAUUGCAAGUGAUUAUUAUAUAUGCUAAUAUUCGUAGGUAAAUAUUAUCUGGUUGAUUUGGGGUACGCAAACACCCAAAAAUUUCUUGCACCCUACCGAGGUGAGCGAUAUCAUCUCAGUCAGUUUGACAGUACUGCAAGAGCCCGGACGCAUCGCAACCCCAAAGAUCUCUAUAAUCAUCGACAUGCUCAGUUGAGAAAUGUCAUCGAAAAAACAUUCGGUGUAUUAAAGAAGCGGUUUAAGAUUCUAAAUCACGCAACACCGUUUUCAUAUAAAGUACAGUGCAUGAUUGCUAUGGCAUAUUGUGUAGUUCACAAUUUUAUUCGCAGAUCACAAGGAAAUGAUAUGUAUUUUAAUGAAAAGAUAGACCAAGUGCCUACGAGUGAUGACGAUAAGGACAUGCCAAUAUUGUCGGCACAGAUGAAUCAAGACGCGGCGAUAUGUUGCGUAGAACUAUAACCGAGCAGUUAUGGAGUAGCAGAUGUUGAAUGUUUGGUACCGCAACUCAUUGUAACUAGACGCAUAUGUUUAUGUAUGCUGAAACAUGUAUGCUUUAUCUAGGUUAUGUUUGUAUUGACGCAUAUGUUAUGUUGUUUGAAUGUUUGGUAUUAAACUCAUUGUAACUAUCGUCUAUGGUUUAUGUAUGCUGAAACAUGUAUGCUUUAUCUAAAUUGUGUUUGUAUUGACGCAUAUAGUAUGUUGUUUGCUACUGUGUGGUAAAUGUUGUUUGGUACUUUUGUAAUAUUCGGCUGGGUGAAUGUAUAACUCAAUGUGUUAAAAUGUACGUAAAUGUAUCAAUGAUUUAGAUUUAUCUGUAUAAUGUAAAAUUGGUUCAAGACAUAUAAUAGCAUAUUUGUUGAAUGGAAAACUUAUAUUUGUUUUAUGGUAUUCAUAAUUGUGCUUAAUGUUAAUUAUUGUAAAUGACUUGUCGUAUUAUUAUUUGCUAAAUAGUGAUGGUAAAUAUGGAAAACUUAUAUUUGUUUAUUUCAUUGUAGGUUCAGGACAAUUGUAUUUUUAUCAUUUGCUAAGUAUUAUUUUAAUUUGAAAGAUUCAAUAAGAUAUAAUGAUCAAACUCAAUAUAGAUUAAAAAUUGACAGAAUUUUAAAAUUAUAAUCAUUAUUAAAUUUAAAUUUUCAAGUAGAUUAGAAAUAAUUUAUACAUGAAUCAAAACAUUUUACCUCCUUUAAUAUUGCUUAUAAUUCAUAUUAAAAGAGAGGGGUAAUUUUGGCAUAUUGAAAUUUUCAACUACCAACUAUUCCUCUUAUUCCUAAUAACCAUCCAAACACAAUUUUUCUACUUCCAGCUUAUACUCACAAUUUCAUCCAAACAAAAAAAAUACCCUUAUUCCUACAAAAACCCAUAUUUGUACCUAUCCCUGGUAUAACUAGUUCCUAUUAAUUCCCAAACCAAACGGAGCCUAUAAGUUACACAUGAGGGUACAAGUCUAGUAAAAGCUCAAAAGCUCCAAAUGUUGACAAGUCAAUUUGAUUCUAUUCGAAUGGAGGAGCAUGAAUUUUUUACCGAUUAUUUUACUAAACUUCAAGACAUAAUCAAUACAUGUGCUAAUUUGGGAGAGAAGAUCCCUGAAUCGAAAAUUGUUAGAAAAAUCCUUCGAACUCUACAGGAACGCUUUAGGCCGAAGGUUGCGGCAAUCGAAACCGUUAAGCAUCCGGAUGAGAUGAAAGUUGAAGAGUUAGUAGGUGCUUUAUAAAUAUAUGAAAUGACUUUUCCUACUAAUCAAUCUUCUUCCAAGUCUUUUUCUAAAAUUACAGGGAUUGUAUUGAAAUCAACAAAGGAAGAAGAUAUGAACUCGGAAUCCAACGGAGACAUCUCUAUUGCGGACUUUGAAAAGCAAUUGGCGCUCCUAACGAAGAAGUUUCGUUGGAAUUUUCGGAAGAAUAAGACCAACAAAGCUUCAUCAUUGAAGCAAAAAUCAUUUUCAAAAGGAUCUUCAAGUUCAAAAUCGAAAGAAAAGAAACUUGCAAAACCUUCUAAAAAAAAAAGAUAAUUUUGAAAGGGGAAUCAAUGUUUCAAAUGUAAAGGCUACGGCCACAUUUCCAUGGAUUGUCCCUCUAAGAAAUCCUACAAACAGAAGGCUUUGUAAGCAAAAACUUAGGAUGAUUCUACUUCGAGUGAAUCAACCUCAUGUGAUGAAGAAAAGAAUGAUGAAAUUGCUUUAUUUACUAAUGCUUCUUUACCUUUGUCUAUUGUUACAUGUUUAUCUUCCAUUAUUUUUUAUUCUAGUGUUUCUCCUUCCUUACAUGGGACGUCGAGCGAUGAUGGAGAAAGUGAUGAGGAGUCAAACGACGAGGACUUAGCCGACGCGCACCAUCAACUUCUUAUUGAAUCAAAGAAAAUGGCUAAGCAUAAUAAGAAGUUGAGGAAGCGUGUAUUGGAACUUGAAGAUGAGAAUAAAAAUUUGAAGACCACAAACAAAGCUCUUGAGGAGGAAAGGGAAUCGAUUUUGAAGAACAAUUCGGUCCUCCAAGAGAAGCUCGAUCAAUCGAAUUUAACGAUCAAAUCUAAUCGAGACAAGGUUGGUUUUUUGGAGCAUCAAUUCAAGAAAACUCAUGCAUCCAACCAAGUCUGGACCAAUCAAGUUCGUCAACUCAAGUCCGACGUUUAAAAAUUUUCUUCUGAAUCAAAGAAAUUGGAUCAUAUACUCGGAUUGGGUCAAAUGAACAAGCUUGGUCUUGGAUACGAAAGGACAUAUAUUGAGAAGGAUCAAAGUGUAAAAUAUAAAGUCUCAACAUCUUUAAAGGAGAAGGUUUGCCAUAGAUGUGAUAACAAAGGACACAUCAAGAAGAAUUGCCCGACGAAGAAUAAGAAGGCUCAACCGGCAACUUUUAAACAUCUAUCGGCAUCUUCCAAUUCUCGACUUCCCCCACGGAGUCAAAAGCAACAACAAUCGAGUCGAGUACCUCAAGUCAACCGAAAAUCAAAGCCACAGGCCCACAACAUCAAGCUCCACAAAGCAACAUGCAACAAGAAGACCGACGGUGGAUCAAAAAUCGAGACAAACCAUGCCUAACGUCGACAAGCCAAGACAACCCACCAUCCGACAAGUUUGGAUUUGGAAAGGCGAUAUCUUUCCUUGUCUUAUAUCUUAGUUUGUUUUUGAUUUGUGUAAUGCUUGAUGGUGAUCAUUGCAUUUUUUUAAAAUCUUUGCAUUACAUGUUCGAAUGCUCUUGAUGCUUGAAAUUUGCUUUUGAAAUCUUUUUGAGAAAGAUGAUUGAAAAUUAAAAUUUGAAAACUUUUUGAGAAAGGUGAUGUUUUGAAACCAUCUCAAAUUCACAUUCAUCUUGAGUUAUAUUCAUAUUAAUUAUCAAUUUUACUCUACUUUUAUUAUUUUGACGAUAAUUUAUUAUAGGAUUUCUUAACACAUAUAUUCAUCAAAUUUAUGGAAUCAAAUUUAAUCUCUUGGCAAUUAAUCUAUCUUGGUUGUGUGUUUUGACUAUGAUGAAUGGCUAUUCGCUCAUAGACUAAAGUUUAUCAAAUUUUCUUUCAAAUACGAGAUUGUCUAAUUAAGGGGGAGUUUGAAUUAUUAAAAAAUAAAAAAAUAAAAAAAUUUGAUAUAAAAAAAAUACUCCUAUGUUUAAAAAGAUGUGAAAAUAGUUACAUCCAAAAGGAGUGUGAAAACUACCAUGCACCAUAUGUAGGAAAGAGCUACCACCCCAGUCGUCCGGUAAGUGUGUGAAGCUACCAUAUAGGAAUUGAUUGAAUCACCGAAAAGAUUGAAAAAUAGUGAAUAUUUAAAUUUUUCGGAGUUAUAAGGUGGUAGAACGAAAAGAUGCUCAAAGUGUCACGCCCCGCGCCCCGCCUAUUUGGUCGGGUUCGGGCACGUUAACAGACCGCCGAACGGACAGAGUCUCCCCUGUACGUCCAAGGCGUCGCAAUCAAUACGAUACAAGGAGUUCCAACCAGGAACAGUAUUCAUUCAUAGAUUGCAUAAGGAAGUAUCAAAAACAUAAAACCACUAAGUUAUUACAACAUUCAACUUAGAUACAUGUUACAACACAUUUUCUUCUACAUUCAUCUUCCAAAUACAAUCACAAUUAUUACAAUUUAUUACAAGUUUGUACUUUGUCUCUAAACCCCUCAAGCUAGACCACCAACUCGGGUACUGCUACCUCGGUCUCUGGGGUAGGGCGCUACCUAAGGAGCUACGCCCUUGCCUCGCGCCGCCGCGCCACUCACGUGUGUACCUGUAACACCCCAAAACAACGUGGGGUGAGAACCAACUCCAUGGUUCCCAGUGGGUCGGCACUAAGAAGAGCUCGGCAAAUAGGUCAAGGAGGCAUGCAAUCAUUGUUGUCCAAAAAUAUUUAUAUAUAUACUAUAUAUAUAUAUCGAUUAUUAUAUAUAUAUUAUUAUAGAGUAGGGCUAGAAUACUUUCACAAGUAUCACCCAAGUGAUACUUGUGUGUUUUUAACCAUUGGAUCUACUUUUUGAUUACUAAUAGCCUUUAGAUCAAACACUAUUCCACCUACCACCACCUACCACCAUCAUCUCAACCUCACAUCUCUCCAUCCAAGGGCUAAAAACACACAAGUAUUACUUGGGUGAUACUUUUACAAGUAUUCUAGCUCUACUAUAUAUAUAUAUAUAUAUAUAUAUAUAUAUAUAUAUCAUCAUAUUAUUAUGCAACUAACAGAUAGCAUGCCUCACAAAAUGCGAUAUGCAAAACCUGUAACUCGUGCAAUUAGUUUACUUGAUUCUACUACAUAUUAUUAGUCAUUCUUUACAUGUAGUCGUUCUUUACUUAUUUAGCUAUUCUCUUUCAUUAACUAUUCUCUACAUCAUUUCCUUGUUUACAUUAUACUCAUUGGCGAUUCUUUAUUCUUUGACAUUCUUGAUUUUUGAUAUACUUUAGCGUUUGCCGUUCUUUCCUAAGGUUACUUUACCUUAUCCAACUAUGCUACUCGACUCGGUCUUGAGUCAAUCAAUCGCGGAUAGUCCGCGCACUGCCAAGCUCGAGAUGAAGGAACUCUCACAUGCACCUCAGCUAUCCACAGCCUACCGUACUCCUGUCCUAGCCGUCUUGCGACGAACGCAUCGCACCUCACUCAACAACAGUCUAGGUCAUGACUUAGCCACCCGGCGGCGAAAUCGUCGCACACGCCACGUCGAUGGUUCAGUCAACAGGCGGUAUGAUCCACUAACCGGCUAACCAUCCGGCGGCGAAAUCGUCGCACACGCCACGACAAUGGUUCUAUAACCCCUGGGCGGCGAAAUCGUCGCACACACCCAACACCACUCUCGGUGUAUCCAUUUAGCUUUGGAAUUCCGGAAUCCAUUUCACAUCACAUAAGGGUUGGUCUUAUCCCUAUAGGAUUGACCUAUCUAGGUCCAAGCCUUUACUCAACCUAAAUUAAUACUUUAGGUUCGUUGCCUCCAUACUCAUAGCCUAGGUUUAUUAACUCUAGGUUCAUUACCUUUGCCCACCUAGGUUCAUGUGAUUCUAGGUUCGUUAUCUUUAUCUCACAACCUAUGUUCUCUAACAUUAGAUUUAAUGCCAUUCCUAUUUAACCUAUGUUCAUCAACACUAGGUUCAUUAUUUCUCUUGUACAACUUAUGUUUAUUAACAUUAGGUCCACAUUUGUUCAACCUAUGUUCUUGACACUAGAUUCAAUACCACUCGAUCUAUAGGUGCAUUUAUGUCCGUAUACACAAGUCCUUUACUUAUCAUUCUCAACUUGCCAUUAGGCAUUAUCACUAGCAUGCUUUCUACUUUAUGUUAACAUGCAAUAACCCUUUAUCUCAUGUCUUUAGCUAACAUCGUUCUAAGCAUUUACUUAGCAUUGUAUCCUUAUACAAAAUAUGGUAGCUUAACAUAACAUUCAUUUUAUGUAUUCAUGUGUUCUAACACUAGCUACCACUACGUGCAUCAAUGAUAAAUAUGUAUCUUAGACAUACAGGCGACCUAGUCCCUUCGGUAAACACAACCCACCUUAAAUCGCACUUCGAUUGGUUGUAGUCACUUGCAAUCGGCCUCCUGCGGCACCCGUGACCCGAUUCGGCCUGAGCUCUCGAGCAACCACCCGAACGGCCACCAAUCCGCGAUUUGAAAAUUCUGGAGUUUAUUCCUCGACUCCACGAUACUCCGGAUCCGAUCUCAUGAUUUUUAGACGUCUAUUCCGCGCGCUGCGGCUAUUUGUACAAAAACCGACCGUUUCGUCAAUAACUUCGUGUAGACUUUUCGUUUCACCGAACCGAGCGCACCAACGCGUCGGAAAUACCCCCAAUUAGGUUUCCAAGAAGUCAAUUUAUCUCAAAAAUACCCGGAGGCAAAAGCCUCAAAUUUGGUGCCCUAACAAUGUCAUAUUGGAUUUUCUCCUAAAUUGAUCUUGUCCCUAAGCAAAUACUAGCUUAGAAUCAACUAGGAAGCUUUCUAAUAUCAUCCAUUAGCCAUUAGAACCUUUCCUAGGGCAUGAAACACGGACCCUAGCAAUCCACCAUGAGAGCACCAUGAAAAACCUUGGUUUUCAUGUGUUCUAUGGCCAUUAGAAUGUUUCUACACUUGUAGAAGCUUCAAAACUUAGCUCCUUAGGGCACAAAACCAAGCCCUAGGCUUUACUUCACAUAAAACCUCACCUUGGUCACAAGAUCAUCCAAGUCCACCUUGUAGGAGAGCUUCUUGAUCCUUCCCAAGCUUCAAAACCCACAAGUUCUCCUCCAAUCCACCUUUAUCCCACCUUGAGAGAGAGUUUCUAGAGAGAGAGGGAGAGAAAAUGAGAGAGAGAGUGAUCUCCUUGCUGCUGUGAAGAGAUGAGAGGGUUUGGGUCUUAUUUCGGCUACUACAAUUGCAGUUAGGCCCUCCAACUCUCUAAGUCUGUAGCAGGCUGCGCCUGCGGUCCACGGUGCACCGUACCGGUACAUGGGUUCCUGUCACCGGUACAACAGCUUUUUUCGGUGGUCCACGGUGCACUGUACCGGUACACGAAAUCCUGUCACCGGUAUAUAGCCUUUUUCCAGCUCAAACCCAAGAGAAGCCUUUUCCUCGGGUCGCUUGCUGUACCGGUACAGCCAUCAACCUGUACCGGUACACAAUGCUCCAGAGUGCAGUUUUAGCUCGUUUUCGAUUCUAUUUCGCACCGAACAACGCUAAAACCAUUCUAACUCUUUUAGAACUCAUUUUUAACCCUUCUAAUAUGGUUGGGAUGUCAAUUGGAACUUGACCAACCAUUUCGUUCGCGUACUUUAGUCCAUUUGGCUAAAGUCCAAAUAUAGCUUACCGAGGUUUCGGUAUGUUACACAAAGAGCCACCCCCGGUGUUGUAUUAGCUAAAUCUCUAUUUUGAACAUUUUGCGACAAAUUGGUGUCAAUUUUUCAUCGCACUUACCCAUGCCUCUACAAUCCAGGGCUCGGUGCGAUUACCAUCAAAGUGAAGCGGGUCAAAUCGGCAAAAACGAGCUAGUCUCUCAGUCAUCCGCUCCUGCUCUGCCUCUUAUAUCUGCCCAACUGAUUGUGAUGCCUCUCUAGUAAUAGCAGCUGGUGCAGUGCGGGCUGUCACUNAAUCCAUACUUGUACCUAUCCCCGGUAUAACUAGUUCCUACUAAUUCCCGAUCCAAACGGAGCCUAAGCAUUUUAAUAGAACUUCUUCGGCUGUUCUUUUGUAAAGUUGACCAUCCAACAAACAAUAGCUGAGAGCUCUUCUUCGAAUAUUAUAAUCGACCCUUAUAUUAGGAUCCUCCAAAUAUUUGAUCAAUGAUUUUCUCCAAUCUUCUUUCACCUUUAUAGGAGCUAUAAUCGGUCCUCGUAUAUGAAUCGAAGGUAGUAAUCUCCUCUGUAUGACUAUUAACUCUGACUUCGGCUCUCUAUAUCCUGAAGCCGAUUGGGCCAAUUCAUUUGCCUUUUCAUUUUCCUAUCUUCUCAAAUGUUCAAAUUCGGCUUCUCCGAAAUUGCAUAAUAAUUCUAUUGUCUUCCUCAAAUAAUUUUGCAGAUUCGGAUUCUCACAUCGGUAUUCUCCAUUAACCUGCUUGAUUACUAACUGUGAAUCACCGAUGACUUUGAUUGACUUUACUUUCAAUUCUUGCAAUAUUUCAAGGUCGAUUAUCAAGGCCUCAUACUCGGCUUGGUUGUUGGAACAACCGAAAUCUAGUUGAAAUGCAAAUUGACAAACAUGACCUUCAGGAGACUGUAUCACUAUCCCUGCUCCUGCAGAUUCGGUUGUUUUUGAACCGUCAAAAUACAACACCCAGGGUUAGCAGCCGAUCAAGUUUUGUUUCGGCUCCUCAAUCUCUACACAUGGGUGAUCGACCAAAAAGUCAGCUAUAGCUUGGCCUUUGACAGAUUUGGCAGGAACGUAAUUAAGGGAAAACUCGGAUAAAACUAAUAUCCAUUUUUCAAUUCGUCCUCGUAACACUGGCUUAGAUAACAUAUAUUUUACCAAAUCGGUUUUGCAUAUUACCAAUACUUCAGUUGAUAAAAUAUAAUAUCUCAAUUUUGUGCAUGAAUAAUAUAAAGCCAAACAUAAUUUUUCCAUAGCCGAGUAUCGUUUUUCUCUAUCUAACAGACGUCGGCUUAGGUAAUAAAUGGCCUGUUCUUCCUUCUCUUCAUUUCUUGAGCCAGCAAACAUCCCAAAUUUUCGUCUGUAGCCGAUAUGUACAACUUCAUCGACUGACUUGGUUUCGAGGGUACCAAUACCGGACGAUUUGAUAAAUAUCUUUUUAUAUUUUCAAACGCCUCUUGUUGUUCUUUUGUCCAAACAAAUUCUUCUUUAUCUUUCAGCCGAAGUAGUGGGGCAAAAACCCUAAUCCUUCCGGCUAAAUUAGAUAUAAACCACCGAAGAUAAUUAAUCUUUCCCAACAAGCUUUGCACUUCUUUUUUGCUUUUAGGCGGCGGUAGUUCUAAUAUGGCUUUCGCCUUAUUUUGAUCAAUUUCGAUCCCUUUCUUAUGCACUAAAAAUCCUAAGAAGUUUCCUACUGAAACUUCAAAAGCGCAUUUCAAAGGGUUCAUUUUCAAAUUAUAUUUUCUCAUUCUUUCAAAGGCGAGCCUUAAAUUAACCCAAUGUUCGGCUUAUGACUUGGAUUUGAUAACUAUAUCAUCAAUAUAUACUUCCAACAUUUUGCCGAUUAAGUCAUGGAAAAUAAAAUUCAUUACUCUUUGGUAAGUAGCUCCGGCAUUCUUUAAGCCGAACGGCAUAACAACCCAUUCGAAGGUUCCAAUUGAACUGGGGCAUCUAAAAGCCGUUUUAGCAACAUCUCCCUCAGCAAUAUAAAUUUGAUUAUAACCAGCAUAUCCAUCCAUAAAAGACAGAAUUUCAUUGCCGGCAGCCGAAUCUACUGGCAUAUCAGCUAUUGGCAUUGGAUAUUCAUCUUUAGGUGUCGCUAAAUUCAAGUUUCUAAAAUCAAUACAAAUUCUAAGUUUGCCAUUCUUUUUACACACUGGAACUAUAUUAGACACCCAAUCAACAUAACGGGCCGCUCUAAUAAAUCCGGUCUUUAAAAGAUUUUUGAUUUUAUUCUUAAUUUGGAGUACAAUACUCGGCUCAAACCUACGAGCCGGUUGUUUAAAAGGCUUGAACCCUUUUUUGAUGGGCAGCCUAUGCUCUACAAUCUCUCGGCUUAGACCUGGCAUUUCUUCAUAGCUCCAGGCGAAGCAGUCCUUAUAAUCCUUCAACAGCUUUUUUAAUUCUUCCUGUUGCUGAGCCGACAGCUUGGAACUUAUAAACGUCGGCCUGUUGUCUUUAUAAAACCCCAGGUUUACUUCUAUCAACAAAUCCUCGGUCUCCAACUUUUUCUCGCCGACUUUAAUAAGCGAUUCUUCCAGCUUCAUUUCUGCUGUUCGCCUAUUCAUUUGACCUUCUUCUUCGGCUUUAUGACACAAAUCUUUUAUAACUUCUUCGGCCUUAUUGGCCGAAUUGUCAAAUGCUAAAACAUCGGUUAUAGCAGCCGAAUUACCCUCAUAGCCAAUCUUGUUGAUCGGCUCAUCCUGUCGAGGCUUAUGCCAAGCCUAUAUUCUUGACUUUUGGGACUCCAUUUUAACCAUCUAGUGGCUCUUCAUCAGCCACCAUAGCAUUGAUAUCUUUGGAGAGAAUUAAUUGAAUCCCCUCCUACGUUACUCUUACAAACGAAAUCUGAUCUGGAUCAGCAUCGGCCCAAUUGGUUUGGCCGAUGUCCUCCAUGUUGACAUCUAUCAGUUGAGGUCGUCCCUCGGCCCGGAUUUCUUCUACCUUGUCUCCUAUCCACUGGAAUAGUUUUCCGUGGAGUGUAGAGGGUACGCACUUAUUCGAGUGUAUCCAAUCUCUUUCCAAUAAUAAGUUGUAGUGGCUAUCUGCAUCCACUACAAAAAACGCAGUUUUUAAAGUUUUUGAGCCUACCGUGAGUUCGGUGGUGAGCACUCCUUGAGCUUGUUGACCGUUUCCUGUGAAAUCGGUCAUGAUUGAAUCGGUGGGCUUCAAUUCGUCUUCAUCUUUGCCCAACUUCUUGAAAAAGGAAGUAGGCAUCACAUUGACCAUAGCACCGCCGUCUACCAUAACUCGGCCUACCGGCCGACCUUCUAUUAAAGUUUUUAUAAAGAGAGGCCUUAUGAACCUCGUCUGCAUAGCCGAUGGUUUCUCAAAAAUCAAUGCAUCGGCCUAUCGAACAUCCUCUAGUUGCAAUUGGGCUACUGUAAGCCCAUUUUCCUCUUCUUCUCUGAACUCCUCGUACUCAACAAACUCUGUCUUGAAGGAUUGCGGCAGAGCAUACACCAUACUCACCUCGGCUGGUGAUUCAUCAGCCGACUUUCCCUUAAUUCUCUAUUUCUUCUCUUCUGACUCCUUGGCCGUUUCGGCUGAAGAGUUACUUUCCAUACGAACCUCCCUCUCUUUAGGAGGCCAUCUUUCUCUCUUGAUCAUCGUCUCAAGGGAAGCUAUUUUAUCUUCUAACUUUCUCCUGGUCAUUUUCUCUUCCGACUCAGCCUCGGUUGGCCGUUCUAUUCUUGACUUCAACUGGAGGGCGGGUGAUGAGCCACCUACCUCAUGGUCAUUUCUCAUUGAACGAAAAGGGUGUGACCGCUCAUCAGGGCGUCUCCAUACAUUGAGCCUCAUCCCUUUCGCUUCCUCAUAGUGUUGUCUUGCCUCGGUCGCAUCCCCUGCUGCCGACGCUUCUGAGUUUUUGUCAAUAUCGGCCACUGCCACCUGGCCGAUGGUUUGACUUCAACUUCGUGCCAUUCAUCUACUGGCACAUUCGCCGGUACUUUUACCGUUCUUAAAUGAUUUUUCAGAAUUUCUCUUCUUUCCCAUGGUCUCGGCUAAGGCUGAAUGCCGAGUUCGUUGACUAACCUCCGACCGAGGAAUUCUAUGUCUCCCUCGGUCAUUCCUUCGAAUUCCGGUUCUGGUUUCGGCCUGGCUUGCUGUUGCCAGUGUGGCCGAUACCCAGGGAACCUUUGCUUGGAGCCGAAUGGUCUAUCCUGUUAGUCCCAUCGGCCAUGACGUUCUCCACGCCUGUUGUUGUAGUAAUCAUGCAGAAUCUUCUGCAUCAGCAUAUCUUUCUUGCGUUAAACCGAAUCUACUUCCGGUUCAGUGUCAUUUGAGGCUGUGUCCGAGCCUUCUUCUUCUUGGUCUUCACCAUCAGGAAUGUCAUCCCAAUCCUCAGGGAACGCCAUCAACUCAUUCCAUUUGUUCCCCCUUUUCUUGGCGUUCACGAUGGCUUCCCAGUCUUUUUUCGUCAUUUCGGCCUUGCACCUAAUGCAAAGCCGAAGAUGCUUUUUGGCAUGGGCCACGUUGUCAGCGGUCUCCUUGUCCAAAAUCUCUUUUCUUUUAACAUUCACCAUAUUAACCUGAAAUAAAAUUGAACUUCUGUUAAUUUCUUUAUUUUCAUUUUCCUAGUCGGCUAAUAUGAGCCGACCCUCGUCUAUUUCUUCUUGGAUCUGCCUUUCCGCAGUCGCUUUUCCUUUCCCUUUCAUGUUCACGGCGUUGACCUGUGAUGGAAAAGGAUUCUUAUCAAUUUCCAUAUCUUUAUUUUCUUGGUCGGCAAAGAUCAGCCGACCUUCAUUUAUUUCUUUUUGAAUUUGCCUCUUAAAGGCAGUACAUUCACUAGUUUUAUGGCUCCAUGAAUGGUGCCAUUUGCAGUAUCUUCUGCGUUUCAGUUCUUCUACAGGAGGUAUAGUUUGACCAUCCUGUAGUUUAAUUCGUCCGUCUUUCAGCAACUGAUCGAAAAUAAGAUCGAUUUUUGUUAUAUCAAACGAAUAAUUAAAGGCCGAUAUAUGUGCUUUCGCCUCUCUUGACUUGGCAGGUUUUAAUAAAGCACAUUUAUACGGUUGAUUAUUUCUCACCAUCUCGGCUGCACAAAUUUCGACUUCAUCAGCCGAAUCUUCAUUCUCUUCAGACGAAUUCGGCUCUUCAUGAGCCGAAGCCUCCUCAAAGAAAGAGAUAUUUUUCUCCUUUCCCUUGUUCCAGUCCUUGUUUCGGCUCCACCUAGGCCGAUCUUCAUUAUUCCCUUUUCGAAAUUGCUCGUAUUGAGCAACUCAAACUCCCAAAUUGAAAAGAUUUGAAAAGAAUUUAUCUUCAAAGUGAUCUUUAAUCUUAAAAUGCAUGCCGUUGAAUACCAUUUUGGCAAAUUCCGAUUCCGGCAUUCUUACGAAACAUCGACUUCGAGCCGACUUGAAUCGGUUUAAAUAUUCAUCAACCGAUUCCCCUAUUCCAUGUCUAAAUUGAGCCAAAUCCACAACUGACAACUUUGGCUCAGUUCUAUAAAAUUGUUUAUGAAAUUUACCCUCCAACUCGUCUCAAUCUCGGACGGAAUUAGCGGGUAGACUUGUAUACCAAGUAAAAGCCGCCUUGGUUAACGAAGUGUUAAAUAAUCUUAGCUUCAAAAAUGGGUCUGCCACUGCUUCACGGCAUUGAGCUGUAAACCAUGCGACAUGUUCGACUGUAUUUUCGGUCUCGUCGCCAGAAAACUUGUCAAAUUUCGGCAUCUUCCAAUUUGCCGGAUACGGAUGUUUCACAUCUAUAUUAGCAGGAUAUGGUGACCUAAAUAUGGGCCGCAUUGCCGGCCUUGCGCCUAUUCCGAAAGUAUUUCGAAUGGCCUCUUCUAUUUGCGUAUAUAUCUCAUUGUUAAUUUCUUGGAAAGGAACCUGCUCUGGCACGGGGUUCGGUGGUUGUUGCGCACCGAGAUUUUGUACUAAGGGAUUAAUCCCUUGUACAUUCAGAGCUUGCCCCCUAGCCCCAACAUUUUGGGGCUGGUAGGCUGCAACUGAAGGGGGUGGAGGUAACCCCCAAGCCAUUUCCGGCUGCUGACCGGCGUUACCAAUAACCGGUCUAUAAGCCGCUUGAUACUGUGCCCCCUGGUAUUGGGGCUGACCAACUACCGGUGUUACCGGAUUUUGUAACAUCGGUGUCAUCAAAGGCACUUGUAGGCCUGCUGUCGGCUGUUCGUUUCGAGUUAACAAUUGCCCUAUUCGGGCAAUGUUCUCGUUAGAGGCCAUAAUUGCGGCCAAGACGACAUCCAGUCGUGCAGUACUUGCAUGACUAUUUUGGUCCAAAAGUUUGCAGGACCCGAGUCAUUUGGCCAAGCGCUUGGGUCAAACUAAGCUCCUGUUGGCCAGAUUGACCACUGGUCUCACCCUCAGCGGGUAGGACUGCUUGGCGUUCUAUCACAUUUUCUGAAUUACUGGGCUGUUCACUCCCAGAGUUUCUAGGGAUAGCCCUAUUACGAAGAUUCAUGGCAUUAUCAUCAGCCAUACUUUAAAUGCAAAUUUACCUUAAAAUAAAGUCCCAACGGGCGUGUCAAAAAAUUGUUGGCCGCGGAAAGUCCCGACCCUUGACCCGGUCAAGUAUCCUCCUCGGGAAGAACGUCGGGAUGAUGAGCGGCCGCGGAUGGUGACCCUCGAAGUUUGCGCCCACGACGGAUCAAGCGAUUCGGCCGAUGAGGGAUCGAAUCAGCCGGGUUCGAAGACCUCUACAGUAAAUUCGCUUCGGCGGGAUGAGCCGAAUGAAGAGGGGAAGCCCAGAAUUCGACUGAGAGAUGAGCCGAAUGACUAAACAACUCAAGAUCUGAUCGGCAAGAAGAGCCGAAAAUGAUUUUCUAUUGAAUAGAAAUGCAAGAACAGGGGAGUGAUGCCCGUAGGGCAGAUAGACUCCGAGUACAAGAACAGGGGAGUGAUGUCCGUAGGGCAGACAGACUCCAAGUACAAGAAUAGGGGAGUGAUGCCCGUAGGGCAGACAGACUCCAAGUAUGCUAAGUUACGAGAACUACUCCUAUGAAAAGCGAUAAAUGCAGGAAAGAAAGACGCAGGAAAAAUAAAAGUGGUCUUUUGUGCGCAGGGACGAAGACCCCUUUUUCAGGGUGUCGUAUGCCUAUUUAUAAAGUUGCCCUUGCGUUCAGUUAUAGUCACUGCACGAUCGGCCACUAUCUCCUGAUUUGGAGGACCACCUUUGGCCAAUUGGAACUGCUCAUAACCGCUUGCGGUUGUUAUAACUUUUUGAAUAAACGCGGCUCAUAUCUUCUGACGCGUCUCAUAUGCUCCCGGUCCACCGUUUUGACAUGGAUCAUGGAUGUAGUCCAGGCUUGCCAGCUGUCCACGCCGAAUUGGCCCAACAUAUAGUAAGUUGUACUUUCAUGUUAUGUUUGGUUCCCAAUAAAUUUUUUUUUUUUAUUAUUUCUAGAAUAGAUACAACUUUGAUAUAAGUGAAAAUAAGACUAAUUUUACGUUUGAAUGAAAAUUAAUUAUUUUCAAGAAUAAAAAAAAUUGUGUUUGUAUAGUUAAACAGUAACGAUAAAGAAUGAAAGUAAUUAUAGUUUUAAAAUAAUAAUAUUUUAUGUAAUUAAUUAAUAUCAAAAUAUUAAUAUAAUAAUAAUAAUUUAACAAAUUAAUUAAUUAAUUAAUCAUGAAUAAUAUUAGAUAAUCGUAAAUAUCAAUAAAUAAAUUUAUUAGGACAUUAAUUAAUUAUUAAUUAAUUAACCAGGGGUACUGUAAAUUAAUAAAUUAACUAACUAUAAAUAAUUUGAUAAAUUAAAAAGUUAAAUUAAUAAAUAAUAAAUUAAUAAAUUAAUAAAUUAAUUAGUUAAAUAUUUAAUUAGUUAUAUUGGUCAAAACAUUAAUUGAUUAAUCAAUAUAGAUAUUAGUUAUUACACAAACACACUAAAUAAUUUAUUUUUUAAUUAGCUAAUUAAUUAUGAAUAAUAAAUUAAUUAGUCAAAUAGUUAAUUAAUUAAAUACUUAUUAUAGUAAUAAAUCAAGUGUCUAAUUAUUAAUCUAGCUAAUUAGUUAAUAUAAUAACAUAUAAUAUAUUAAUUGGUAAUAUUAAUUUAUUUUAUUAUUAAAUUAAUAGGGAUAUAAAGAGAAUGAAUUGUUAUUCGGCCAAAAAAGGUAAAUCAACAAUUUCACCCUCUUAACGGGUUAUCCUAAGAUAACUCUUUAAAUAAACUCAUUGAUUCAUCUAGCGUUUGGAUGAGUUAGAGGAAAAAGUGGCAUAUUUCCUUUAUCGAUCCCACAACCAAACGCUGGGUAUGUUUGGUCCAUAAUUGGUACGGAAAAGGAAAAUUAAAUAGAAUUGCAUUAGAAUAGAAAAUGGAAUAAGUAAUUAAUCAUCCAAAAAUAUGUGAUUUACUAUAUAGGAAUAUAGAGAUUGCAACGGAUAAUUGAGGCGCCUAAUUAAGAUUCUGUGAGCGAGUUUUGGUUGAGAGCGAGGAUACUUGUGAAAGAGAAUUUUGAAUACUUACUCUAAAAUAACCCGAUUCAAAUGUCAAAACACCAUUAGAUCAUAAAUAUAUUGGAUCAUUUUCCUUCUAAAGUGUUGUGAGAAUCAAAAUCAUAUUUCAGUAAAAUAAAUAAUAAUGAUGAAAAUCAAUGAAUUUUAUUCUGAUUCCCAAGUCUAAAAUAUAUAGGAGAACCAAACAAGUUCUUUGAAUUUUUGUUCACCCAUUGAUGUCAAACCUAGAUUUUAAUUAAUUAAUUAAUUAAUUUGUAAAAAGAUUUAACGUGACACAUAAAAAGCCACGAAGCUAACAGGGACGUGAGAGGGAUUUAUUAUAAACUAAUUUAUUCCAUCACUCGCCAAGUGCUCUUUGUGAAACAAUAAUCUAUUUGUUAGGUGCUGGUACUUUUAAUAUUUUAAUAUUUUACAUGCAAUACUUGAUCUUUGUCACGUUUUGAUUCGAUGAGGCUUUGAUAAAGCUAAAGACAUAAUUUUGAAUUAAGCAAAACUAGUGUGCUUCGAAUCCAAGAUCUAUUACUUUGAUAAAGCUUUCAUAUAUAUUUUGUUUCAAGUGUCAUCUCCAUUAUAUUAUUAUAAUUAUUACUUUUUGAAUACCACUUGAUGUAAUAUUCCUGAGUGGUGAUAUAUUAGAUUAAUAAAAUACAAAAGUACGUAUAGGGAUGGUGCACUAUAGACCAGAGAUGUAAACCGUACUAGGAAUGUCAACGGGUCAGAUUUGAGGCGAAUUUUAAUUUAAAACUCCGAAUCCAAACCCGCUUAUCAAAUCCGAAAUUUGAAUUUGAAUUCGAAUUCAAAUUUGAUGAUAAUUUUAAAAAUCAAUAUCCAAAUCCGAUCCUGACCAUAAAACCAAAAUUUGUUCUGAUCAAAAAAUUCGAAACUUGAACCCAAGCCUGACUCCCGAAAUAUUUAUUUCUAUCAUAAUAUUUCAAAACCAAUUAUAUUAAAUGUAAAUUUUCAAAAUGCAAAUUCAAACAUAAUAUCAAACAUUUAUAUUUAUAUAUAUAUAUUAUAUAAUAUAAAAUCUAUUCGGAAUCAGGUCAGGUUCGGGUUUAGGUUGAAUACAGUUAAAAUUCAUACCCGAAUUCAAAUUCGUCAAAUUUUUUUAUUGAUAUUCAUAUUGGAAACUACAUCCAUUUGGCAUCGAGUAAAUCCGCUCAAUUUGAAUUUAGAUUCAGAUAAAAUUUUGGAUAUCCGCACACACUGACAUGUCUAGGCCGUACAAUAGUGAAAGAAAGGAAGGAACUCCAACAGGUUACAAUACAAAGAAAUUUACGCACCACUUCCAAAUCCUCGUACAUAAUUUAUAUGUUAUUUUACGUGCGUGGUUGGUUAAUUAUUAGUUUAUAAUUCCGUUUUGAGACAGAUGCAUGUGACUAACCGGAAAUUAAUUAAGUGAGAUUCAUCUACGGUGCGAGCAAUAACUUACUUAUUUAUGCGCAUUAUGGAUAAGCAAAUCACGUACACAUGCAUAAGCAAUUGCAUUUAUAAGGAUUAUAUAUUAGAGAUAACAACAAUAAUAAUAAUAUACACGGCUACUAUGUACGUACGUUCUGCAUAACGCUUGAAAAAGCAAAUUGACAGAGAAGAUAUACACACAGAAAAAAGCCAAUAUUUUAUUCCAUGAAAUAUUAAAGACUAAUAACAUACUCCCCCAAGAACAAGGACGAGCAAAUCACCUUAUUAGCUAGCCAUUAUUGAACUACACAAAACAACACACGCACGUACGUACACAUUGCACAAAUGCAUUCGUAGAACUUUUACGUAAUUAAAUACCAUUCAAAUAUAUCAUAACUAAAUGAUUAAUUAGUUUCCGAACUUGGAUUUGAUGAGGUCGAUGAUCUGGUUGUCCACCUGGAAGGUCCUGCUGAGCACGGCGUCGGGGAUCGGGGGCUUCGACCCGAACAGCGUCACCGACGACACCACCGUCCCCGGCAACUGGCUAUUGAACGCGGUGAUCUCCAGCGCCUUCCCCUCCCCGAUGUUGAGCUCGAAGUGCAUGAGCCCCCGCGGGAUGAUGAAGUUCAUCCCCGGGCCGAGCACCUUGGAGUAGAACACCCCUGCGGUCGUCACGAACCCGACGAGCACCUUCCCCUCGACGACGAACCCUAGCUGGGUCGCGUGGGGGUGAACGUGCGGAGGGUUCACCCCACCGGGGGCAAUAUCCACCCGGUUCAUCGACAACCCGAGCGUGUUCAACCCCGGGAAGCUCAGCACGUUGGCCGGGGUGAUGCUCGACCCGAACAUGUUGUUGGUGUCUCCCGCCACGGAUAUCGCGGAGGAGAAGAAGUCGUCGGAGACGACGGUGAAGUUCGGCUUGCACGGGAAGCCA